UUUUCUUUUUUUUGUUGCGGCUAUGAAAUGAUUUAUAUAAUUAUAUGCUUUCCAAUCUAUUGCAAAUUUAACAUACUAUUAUAAAUAUUACAAUAGCAUCAUCACUUGAUUGUGAUUUCUUUGGUGUUGUUGUAGGUGUUUUUGUGAUCAUUUCCAAGAAUUUUUAGUGUUUUCAGAAAUUUUAAACUUCUAAGUCUUUGCUCAAGUUAUUUGUGUGGAUUUCAAAUUAUUGUAGGUGUCAUUAAAUUUGUCUUUGAAAAAGGGUGAUCUUUCAUUGUACUAAUAGUUUUAUUGUAUCUUUUCUUCACAAUUGUUUUAAUAAGCUUUAUUGAGAUAUUAUAUUUGCUUGUUUUGUUUUUUUUUUAAAUUAAAGUAAAAAUGACUUAUAUGUUAUUUUCACAUGUCUUUUGAGUAUGUAAUAUUAUUACUAAUCAUAAACUUGUGAAUAUAUAUGGGUUUGGUUUCAUUAUAAUGGUAGAACACUCUUUUUCUUAAAAAAAAAAUAGUUUUUCUUUUUCAACAAUAAAAGUUAUAUAGGGUUCCCUCGUUAUAUAUUUGAGUCUUUUGAUUUGUUUAUGAUCUUUUUUUAGUAUUAUUUUUUUAUAAAAUCAUAUCCCCUAAAUUGUAUUUUUUUUAUUGGUUAAUGUCAUUUCAUUUGAGACUUUGGGUGUCAUUUAAAAAGAAAAAAAAGUUUUAAAUAAGUGACACAUGAAUAUUUUUAAGGCAUAGAUUUUUUUUAAUCAUAAGAAUACAAUUUUGAUAAAUAUACAUAAAAAAUAACUCCUUGAUGGGAAUUUAUCUAAAAUGAAAGACUAUCAAUAAAUAAUAAAAAUAAAAAUUAAUAAAUAAGUGAACACAGUAAAUAAGCACUCCUAAUUAAUAUAAUUUGAUAUUUAUAUUUGAUAGUUUCUUAAAAAAGCAUGUCAAAACUCAAACGAUUAAAAAAAAAAUCAUUUUCAAAUAAUGUUAUUUAAUUAUUUAUUUAUGGAAAAUUAUCAUUUGUAUACCUUUAGUUUACUCCAUUAUAAAAAAUACUACAACACUUUGAAGGUGUAUCAAUCGUCCACCAUAAGUUGACAAAAUGUAUCAGCUGACCACCAAACUGUUAGUUGCCGUUUAAGUAUGAUGACGUCAGAAGGGUAAUUUGGUCUUUUUAUAUAAUACAAGUGAUAAUUUAAAGGUAUACAAGUGAUAAAAAGAGAAUUUAAGAAUAUACAAGUGAUAAUUUUUAAGGGUAAAAUCGUCAAUUCACUGUAAUUAUGUCAACUUUCAAACAACAACUAACGAUUUAGUAGUCGGUUGAUAUAUUUUAUCAACUAAGAGUGGACGAUUAAUAUACCCUCAAAGUAUUAUAGUAUUUUUUAUAACAAAAUAAAUAUAAGAUAUAUAAAUGAUAAUUUUGUGGUGGUUACGAGACACCUACCGAAAGAGGAAUUUACGCAUCGACAAGAGAGGGGCAAACUCGUCCAAAAUCAAUUACAGCUAUCAGGGAACACGUGUUGGGACUUUUCUUUACUUCCCAUGCUGACGAAUCGCCGCAUGGUGGGCACAACACCCGUGAAAUUUCACAACGGAUCCUCUAUUCCCCACACUCUCUUUGAAGUUCACGCGCCAAAAACUGUGAAAAAACUACUGGCUUGACUGAGAAAGCGCGUGGGAGAGGUGGUGUGAGUAAUUUGGCUUGCGAAAAACGUCUUUUCCCCUACCACCACAGCCACGUCGAAUGUUUGGACUCCCGGUUUUGUGGAAUCCGUACGCUGGUUUUGGUUGGAGGCAGGACCGUGGGCGCCCCCUUUAAACUCAGCCUCUGGUUUUUUAGCCUCCGUUUGAUUGAUUGAUUCAUGAAUCUCAUGAAUCUCAUGCUUGCUUAUCCAAUUAGUGUGGAAUAAAAGCAGUUUGUUUCUUUUCUUUUCAUUUGACUUUUUCUUCAUAUUUGAUUAGAUUUUGUGGCUUCCCAAAUUUCUAUCCCCCUAUUUUAUACUUAGCUUAUCAAAUUGGUGUGACAUGAUUUGGACGGUCCAACCAAAAUCUAAGGUGAUAUUUUAUCCUCACUUCAAAUAGUAAAAAAAAAAAAAAAAUUGUAUACAGAGUAUAGAUCAUACAAGUUUGAGUGCAGUAUUGAAUUUUAGUAUUUCUAUGACGUAGGAGCGGCUUUUUUUUUUUUUGUUCCUUUUAAUGGAGUUGAUUUUGAAUUAGAUAUCAACCUCAACAAUGAUAUAUUAACAUAAAUAUAUUUAGAAAAAUCCCACUUGCAAGUAUAGUGAGAGAAUUAGGUCAUUGGGUAUUAUAGUUUUAUAACUUGUUUAUUUAACCUUUGACUAAGUAAAAUCUCGACAAAUCGGUAUCUUUUUUCUGGUAUAUUUAAUAAAUUUUUUUAUAUGAUAAAAUAAAGAGUUCAAACCCUAUUCGUAAAAGUAAAAUAUAAUUUAAUUGUUAUUGCUAUUAGGUGUAUAAAAAAAGAAAAAAAAGAAGUAAGUUUGAAAGGAGACUCUCAUUCCUCACUAUUAAAACAGUGCAACGUCAUUGUCUACUACCAGAAGAUGUCGAGGGGAUGUGUUUCAUUAUCUUCUUUUAUUCGAGCAUAAUUCAAAAUAUCUUGCGUGCCGGCCCGAUGCAUGGCUUGCGGUACAAUGCAUCGUAGAAAUCAAGCACAUCACGUUCCCGGGCAAUUAAUAGGUCUCGUGUCGAUGAUUCCUAGUCAUAGUAAAAAAUUAUAGGUCCACUACAUCUGUCUAACCUACACAUCAACCAAAAUGAAAGAACGCUACUGGGUUUACGAUUUAUUUCCGGCACUGUGAGUAAAUCUUGAAAAUGUGCAUUUAAUAACCGUGAUAUUAGUCCGCAUAUUUAGGAGAUAUAUCCAUUUAUGUGAAUACAUAAAAAGAUAUGCCUACCCACGUUUGUUAGAUGAAAUUCUGUAAAGAGGCUCAAAUUUAGUAUUCUCGAUACAUAGGCGAUAAUUGACUUUUUAAAUUUGAAUUAUAUAUUUUAUUACAAUAUAUUUGUUAAAAUUUGGAUACCAUUUUUUUUUUUGUCUAAAAUAUAAAUAAAUCUGAAUUUGACUGAAGUCUUAAUAUCUUAAACCUCUUUUAUAAUUCACAUGUAUUUGAGGUCAAUAUUAGGACAAGAAGAGGUAUUUUUAUCUUUGAAGUCUCUUAUUUUAAAUUAGGUUACCAUUAGGUUAAAUAAAAAUUAAUUGGAAGGAGUAAUUAGACUUUAAUUUUCCCUUUGCAUGACUAUAGGAAGAUGCACUGAAUGUGUUAACUUAACACAUUAAAAUUCAAUGGACAUUUAUUUUCCUUUAAAAAAAAAAAACAAAUUGAGCUAGUAUCUUUAAUGAAGUACCUGGGUAUGACCCAUGCUUAAUUCAUGUGGUAGCUAUAGAAGUUUGUAAAACUAAUUUAUAUUUAAAAGUUGAUUCAAGAGUCGACAAUUACUUCAAAUUUAGAUUGUUUAUAUUCUAAGAUUAAUUUAUUUAACUGAAGUCUUAAUAUCUUUAAUCUCUUUUAUAAUUUACAAGUAUUCAAGGUCAACAUCAGGACAAAAAGAGGUAUUUUUAUCCUUGAAGUCUCUUGUUUUGAAUUUGGCUAUCCAUUAGGUUGGAAAAAAAUUUAUUGGAAGGAGUAAUUAGACUUUAAUAUUAGCUUUCUAUGACUAUAAGAAGAUGCACCGAAUUUAGAGAGUGUUAACACAAAAAAAUUCAAUGGACAUUUAUUUUCUUUUUUUUUUUUAUAGAGAAAUUGAGCUAUUAUCUUUAAUGAAGUACGUGGGUUUGACCCGUGCUCAAUUCAUGUGGUAGCUAAAGAAGUUUGUAACACUAAUUUAUAUUUAAAAGUUAAUUCAAGGGUCGACAAUUGCUUCAAAUUUAAAUUGUUUAUAUUCUGAGAUUAAUUUUUAGUCAAUUUGAAAUUGUUCCGCUUACAAUGGUAAAGCAAGAAAAUUCAACAAGAGUAAUGAUAGAACCAAAACUACUUUGUGCAAAUAAAUAUAUAUAAACUGAUAUGGCAUGAGGAGAUUGUUGUAUAAAACCAUCAUAGAUUCACAUAAUUAGAAAAAAAUAAUAAUUAUACUCAUUUUUCAACAAAUCUCUUUACGCUACAUCAAUUUGUGCACAUUAAUUUGUUUUAACUUAUUUAUAACUUUAUCAUUAUUGCUCCAAGAAAUAGGUUCUUAUUUUGAUGAAGACUUCUAUAAUCAUUGAUAUACAAUCGACACAAUAGGACCCUGACAAUGUUAUCUUCAAGGUGUAAAACGGGUUGGAUAGUCCAAUAGACGACCCGGCAACAAAACCCAAAAACAACAAAUGCUCAUGGAUAGAGACAGAACCCCUGAUUGAUAGGCCUCAUAGCUUACAUUAUAGCCAUUCAGAGUCAGCCCAGUUUCCAGCUUCCACAUUUCACUGAGCACCAAAGGCAGUAACAGAAGAUGCACCAUCGCAACCGGGUCCCUGACACGUGGCAAACACCCAAUUUAUAGGAGAAUGUGAAGAGAAAAAGAAAGUUAAAACUCCUACUUUCAUGGUCCUGUCUUUUAAUUUUACCUCUUUUAAGUUUCAAUCUCUCUCUUAGUAGUUAAGAAGACCAACGGUACACGGAAUACCAAACAAAUCAAAUCAAUAAUUAUAAUAAAUUAAUGAAAGAAAAAGUAUGAUUUAUAGUUAAUAAUCUAAUAAUUAAAACUAACUCAUUUUCCAUUAUUUAAUAUUUUUUUUUUAUCUCUUUCAACAAUGACAUGAGGAAGUUUCAUUAACGUGCAUUGGCUGUUCGUUCACCUCUCAACGUGCUCUCUCAGGUUGGUCUUCUCACAUUCCCUACUUUGUUUUCAACAAUUAGAGAUACACAUUUUGGGAUCUGAUUGCUUCUUCAUUAUGGAAAAUUUUGAUGCCUGUGAAUUUAUGAACCGUCAGCUUUUUCAAGUUUUCGCAAUGCAGGUUCCCAAUUUUUCAAAUUGCAUUUUGUGUUUUGAAGCUGAAAUGUCUCAUGCAUUUUGAAAUUCUACUCUGGAUUCACAUUCUGUGCGUACGUAUUGGUGAUUUAAGUAAAUUCACAGCUAAGGUUUAAAAAAAAAAAACUGGAAUUGCAGUUAAGAAGGAUUUUUUUUUUUUUUUUUUUUGUGGUUUAGGUUAUAAACUCUAAGCUUCUGCAAGAAAUUCUGCUAUUUGUUUUGCUAUGAUUUGCAUUGCAGCUUCUUCUCAUGUUGAUAGAUUGUAGUGAAAUUAUUCCUGGUUCCAUGAAUUGAUGGCUGCCAUUAGCACCCAGGUGUUUGUCAUGAUUAGUGAUUUUGAACACUCAAAUUUACUUAAAUCAAAUAGUAAUUGAGAAGUUAAUAUAGAAAUUUUUACAAAAUUAGACCAAAGUUUUUCUUUUAGAGGUAAUAAAUUGUGUUUUUCCUUUAUCAUUAAUGAUUAGUUACAGAGAUGCAUAAUGCUGCCACUGAGCUGGACAUGGAGAAGCUUUAAAGACUGCCACAUUUUCCCUUAGCAUCACCCAAAACCACAUUGAUGUCGUAUACUGUCUCUUAUAAACUUUAAUAGAUGUUUUUCAAAAUCAGAACUUUGUUUAAAUCUUUGUUCUGUUCUUUGCAUGUCAUGUUCAUAACUUUCCUUUUCUUCAUUUUGUAUUGCAAGGUAACUUCACAAACAGUUUCUUUAUACACCAUCUCUGUAGCAUUCUCGACAGUCGGUCACGUUCUUAUGUUGUCAUUUAUUACUGGUUUGUGUUACAAUAAUAAUGCAGUUCAUCACCUGUUAUAAGUUGCUAAAAGAUUGGACAGAUUAAUAGCAUUUUCGACAGUCAGUCACAUUCUUAUGUUAUCAUUUAUUACCCAUUUGUGUUACAAUAAUAAUGCAGUUCGGUACCUAUUAUAGGUUCUUAUAAGAUUGGGCGGGUUAAUAGCUUAUUAUAAGCUGAUAGUUAUAUAGCUUGACAUGUCAUUGCAGCAGAGGAAUCUAAGAAGUAAUAGCUGCUUUUGUUAGUUGCCUUAUGAGCUCUGCCCAGAGUUUCAGUUUAUUCUACUUUUUUUUUUUUUGUAGUGUUCCAUUUGAGCUCAGAAGCUUGAUGACCCUUUCUUGAACCUCAUCAUGAGCUCAGUUUCGGCUCCCCAAAUGAAUGGGCCUGAGGAGCUCAAAAGAUCAAAUUCAGCUUUUGAGUCAUCAGUAAACAUUAAUUCUGAGGUUGAAGGUAAAGGAAGCUCAUAUCCUUAAAUUUUUUGUUUAUGCAUUUGUUAUUCAUUAAUCCUUCUUUUUUCCUAUUCCAGCCAAGCAACGGGCACUGUUGAUAGAGUGGUUAAAUAGCAUUCUUCCUAAUUUGAAUUUUCCAAUUAAGGCUUCAGAUGAGGAGUUGAGAGCCUGUUUGAUUGAUGGCACUGUUCUAUGUCAAAUUUUGAAGAGGCUUAAACCUGCUUCUGUUGAUGAGGUUGCUAAUAUACCUAUUGUCUGUGGGUUACCAUAUUGAUAUGAUUAAUUUUCUGAUUGAAUCUGCAAUUUGUUUCCAUAGGCCAAUUAUUCUUAUAACUCUUCGAUGUCCCGCUCGGGAAAAAUAGCAAGGUUUCUGACUACUCUGGGUAAACUUGGAAUAUCCAGGUUUGAGAUGUCAGAUCUAGAGAAGGUACUGAUGUUUAAAUUGAACCAGCAUUUCAUCUGAAAGAUUUGUACGCAUAUGAACAUCCAUCUGCUUAACAAUAUGCAAACAUAAUUCUUGAAAUUUUGAACAUGUUCUACAAUAUAUGAUCUGAUUGUCCUUGCAUGGAAUAUUGUUUUGCAUUCUUUUUAUAUGGUUUUGCAAAGAAAUUUUUCUCUUUCAACUACUUAUAGAACAUCUGUUGGUUUCUGCGUCAUGGAGACUUUUGUUAUUCUUCUGUUAAACUUCAGUUCUGUAUCUUUCAGGGUUCUAUGAAGCCUGUUAUCAACUGCCUUUUAAAUCUUAGAGCAGAAUAUAUUACUGGUGGAGAUAUUCGUCCAUUGACUAGCAUAAGUACAAAAUCUGGAAGCCGUCAAGGGGAUGUUUCGUCUCCUGCUUCUCUUUCUCCAUUAUUUGGAGAAGAAAGGAGGAAGGUUUCCUCAGACUCCCAAUUUCAACGUGGUUUGCGCAGUCCUGUCAUGUCAGGUAUAAAUGACGUCAUGAAGUCUUCAGCACACAAAUCUACAGCAAUGACAUGUUAACUUGCUUAUAAUGACCAAACAUGUAUUCAAAAUGAUCUACCUUGAAAUUUUAUAUUCAAAAUUGUGCUACAAAGUUCUUAUGGGGAGUGGACAUUUUUCUAAAAGCCUCGUAAGGUUUUUCAGGUGAUUUACUACUGAAAGAAAUUUAAGAAAUGGUUGACAUUUUUAUAUUCCAAAUAUAGCUAAUUAAUUGUUCAUUUUACUGGCCUUUGUUAAACAUGCAUUUCUUUUCAUCAUAAAUAUCUUAAAUGCAUGCUAUUUCUUCUCUUACAGAGCCGUCAACUGCAUUAUUACAUCAUGUUGGACACAAGUUCCAUGAGGUUUUUCAACUGAAACAAGGGCGCUACUCGGAUCUUCCUGCUGCGAAGAUCACAGAAAUGAUGAAAUCAACCAGUUUAGAUGUAAGUUUUUGGUCUUUGUCUUUUCGAUGGACCUUAGACACAAUGUCUAUAAUUCCUUUCUUUCCUAUUUUCAACUUAAUGCUUAUUUAAUGCAUUUCAGCAUCUCUUGUUGCAGAAUGCUCCAACUCAGUCGCUUUUGAGUGUUGUGAAUGGGAUUCUGGAUGAAAGUGUUGAUAGAAAGAAUGGGGAGAUACCUCAUGUAAGUUACAGAAGGAAAUAUGAGUUUAGUUUUAAAGCACUUACUACUUUGACAGUUUUGCAAGUGUACACGAUGGAAGCCUACGCCCACUUAUUGCCACAUAUGGAUAUAUUUUUUGUUUUGGGGGAAAAAGAAAACAUAUCCUCUGAUAUUGCCUUUGUUGUUCAGCGUGUGGCAUGCCUGCUGCGAAAAGUCGUGCAGGAGAUUGAACGGCGUAUAUCAACUCAAGCUGAUCACUUAAGAACUGUAAAAUAUUUUCUCAAUUUCUUAGUUUAUUUCAACAUAUUUUUCGCAGAUGCUCUAUACCAAUUUCUUUAUGGUUCUGUGCCUUUAGCAAAACAAUCUUUUCAAGACUCGUGAGGAAAAAUAUCAAUCCAGAAUCAGAGUGCUUGAAGCCCUAGCAUCUGGUACUGGAGAGGAAACUGAGGUAUGGUAAAUGCCUGUCAUUUUUCUUGUUGAUAUGUUUUUAUCUAUCUUUUACUCAUGAAUUGACUUCAUUUGGUGCAGAUUGUCAUGAACCAGCUUCAGCAGAUAAAGGUAAAGAUCAAAGACAAGCAUGUCUGCCUUUGACUGACCUGUAUCUGAUUCUCUAUGAGGCAUUUUUCUUUAGCUCCAUAUUUAUUCACUAGUCAUUUGUUAUUGAGAAGACAGUUUCCAAAUUUCUAGUUGUUUGAGUGCCUAUUAAGAGAUCAAAUGCGGAGAAUUUCUUACUUUGAGUUGUCUGCUUCUUUUUAAUUGACAGUGCUUGAAUAAGCUGGUUUCAUAACUAUAAAAACAAUUAUUUUUUUACUUUUUUCCCCCUCAAUGUAGAACUUUUAGGUUUUCUACCUAGUUAUAAUUAUAGGGUUAAUUUACAAAGGAAAUUAGAUAACGAUCUCAUGUUCAGACUCUUCUGUUGACAUAUUUCACUCUACCUUUUUGUUAAUUGUUCUUUUUCCAUGUUGCAGACAGAGAAAUCCAAGCUAGAAGAAAAAAAAAAGCUCGAAGAUGAUGAUGUGGCCAAAUUGAUGAAAGAGAAAGAUCAACAGAUGCUUGAAAAUUUGGCAUUGAAGCAAGAACUAGAAAUGGCCAAAAAGACAUAUGAACUGCGUUGCUUGCAAAGGGAAACAGAAUAUAAAGGUGCUAACUCAGGUUUUGAGGAAAGAAUAAAAGAGCUUGAGCACCUCUUGCAGGUUUCAAGGAAUAAAGUGAGAGAGCUUGAGGCAAAUUCUGACUCAAAGUACCAGAGAUGGAGCAGGAAAGAGAGCAUCUAUCAAAGCUUCAUGGAUUUGCAACAUGGUGCCCUGCGGGUAUGCUUUGAGUUUUUCGUUGACUCUACAUUUUCUUGUUUUAUAUUCUUUAUUUUGCUAAAUUAGUGAAAAUAUUCAGGAACUGAGAUUCUCUUCAGAUUCCAUCAAGCAAGAAAUUUCAAAAGCACAAAAGAGCCAUGCGGAUGAUUUAUAUUGCCUUGGUAGUGUUGGUUAUCAGAAUUUUUCUACCUUAUUUUGCAAUAUGUGAUGGUUUUCCCUUAUUAACCAUAAUCUUGUUCAGGUGUAAGGCUUAAAGCAUUAGCAGGUGCAGCUGAAAAUUAUCAUGCAGUUCUUGCUGAGAACCGGAGGUUAUUUAAUGAAGUUCAGGAUUUGAAAGGUGCUACACAUAUCUUUGAUCCAUACCUUUUAUAAUGGUGCAGAUUUUGACAUCAUUUUUAUUUAUCUUUUCAGGUAAUAUUAGAGUGUAUUGUCGGAUAAGGCCAUUUCUACCUGGACAGACCAAAAAACAGACAACCAUAGAAUAUAUUGGUGAAAAUGGUGAGCUGAUUUUUGGAAACCCCUCAAAACCUGGAAAAGAUGGACAACGAAUGUUCAAGUUUAAUAAGGUCUUUGGUCCAGAUGCUACUCAAGGUUUUAAUCUAUUAUCUUCGAUUUUUAAAUUGGUCGUUGUGUGAAUAACUUUUGACUGAUUUGUAGUUCUUUUACAUUGGUUUUAUAACUGUUCUUUGAACUCAUAGGAUUAUUUUAUUAUUGGAUCAAAACAUUGUAAUGUCUAACUAUAUUCUUUUGAAAAUUCACAGCGGAGGUUUUUUCAGAUACCCAACCUUUGAUACGAUCUGUACUUGAUGGAUAUAAUGUCUGCAUAUUUGCUUAUGGUCAAACGGGUUCGGGAAAAACCUACACAAUGGUAAAAACAACCUCAAUAUCUGUAACUUCUCUAGACAUAUGUUGAUGUUCGUGAGAUAUUGAUGCAUUUUGCCCUCCAUUUUCAGAGUGGUCCUAGUGGGCCACAUGAAGAAGAUUGGGGAGUUAACUAUCGAGCUCUAAACGACCUUUUCAACCUUUCUCAAAAUAGAAGAAGCUCCAUUAUGUAUGAAGUUGCAGUUCAAAUGGUUGAAAUAUACAAUGAACAAGUUCGCGAUUUACUAACAAAUGAUGGUUCUCAAAGAAAAUAUCCUUUUUUCUUUGGAUAAAAGCGAUUAUAUAAUAUAUAACAUGAAAUUCAGUUAUGAUUUGGUUAUUAAGAAAAUCUUUUUGCUUUAUGCAAACAUUUUCUGUUUUUUAACAUAAAAAUUAUUUUAUGCUUGAUGGUGUCCCUUGUAAUUUGGCCUGUCAUCACUUCCUGAUAUCAUUUAUCUGAAUGAAGCAUUUAGUGUUCUGGAUUUUGGCUAUUUGUUUCCUUGAUUUGCACACACUUGGGAUUAUGUCGACCUCGCAACCCAAUGGGUUAGCUGUACCUGAUGCUUCUAUGCAUCCUGUUACAUCGACAGAAGAUGUAUUGGAACUAAUGGAUAUUGGACUCAAGAAUAGAGCUAUUGGGGCCACGGCACUGAAUGAAAGAAGUAGCCGCUCUCACAGGUUCUUAAAUGACCUUUAAAAAUAUUUUUCUCCAUAAAUAGAUGUUUUUAGGUGUAAUCUAGUCUAAAUUUUGAUUUUGUGUGCAGUGUUGUUACUGUUCAUGUUCGCGGUAAGGACUUGAAGACUGGAAUUCCUUUGCAUGGCAAUCUCCACCUGGUAGAUCUUGCAGGAAGUGAAAGAGUAGAUCGGUCUGAGGCAACUGGAGAUAGGCUUAAGGAAGCACAACAUAUAAAUAAGUCGUUAUCGGCCCUUGGAGAUGUUAUUUUUGCUCUUGCACAAAAGAGUCCUCAUGUACCAUACCGGAAUAGCAAGCUAACGCAAGUCCUUCAAAGCUCUUUAGGUAUUUCUUUCAUUACUUAUAUUGCUUUAGUCAUAAAUUAUUGUGAAUUUCUUCCUGGUACCCUUGAGCCACUGAAAAUGACUUGAUAUCUUGAGAUAUGCACUUACUACUAAAAUUCAUCUAAAAUAUGUUUUCUUUCUUGUAUUAUAGGAGGUCAAGCAAAAACUCUUAUGCUUGUGCAGCUCAAUCCUGAUGUAAAUUCAUAUUCUGAGAGUUUGAGUACCUUGAAGUUUGCUGAGAGGGUCUCUGGAGUUGAGCUAGGCGCUGCACGGAGCAGUAAAGAGGGCAGGGAUGUGAGGGAAUUGAUGGAGCAGGUUCGUUUUUUUCUAUAUAUUUCUAUGUUUGAUAUUAUCUCGCUUUAAUAUAAUAAUGAACAAUUCCACACUUUGUUAAGUUCCAGAUCUCUGAAAUCGUUCUUGAAAAAUAAUUCAAUGAGGAUCAUAGUGACUAUGAAUAGUUCUUGACUCUGGUCUCAAUGCAUCUAGAAGGGGAUCUCCCAACAUGCAGUCUUCUACUUUAAUCACUUCUUGCAAUUGUCAGAUUUCUCUGUCCCACAGAAACAAGUAAUUGUAGUUUGGCCUCCCUAGCACAAAAAGGAAAAGAAUAAUGUUAUUAUAAUGAGUUUCUUGAAGGUCUUUUAAUAUUGAUUGAGAAACAAAAAUGGUAAAGAAGGGAUUUUGGAGUGAUUUUAUAGAAUUAGAUUGUGAAGAAUUUCCAGUUUAAUAGUCUUCUUCUGCAUAUAAUUUUUGUAGGUUGUUAAUUUUGAUUGUUUGUCUCAUAUAUUUCAAUUCCAAAUGGGUCAUUACAUUCUGUUUGGUAUAGCAUUGCCCUAGAAAAUUUUCCCUGUAUUCUCCUGUUGUCCUAAGGCCCCAUUUGUGUAUUAAGGAGACCUAGUAAAUGUUGCACAGCCAAAUAAAGGGGAAAAAAUUUUGAGGAGCAUAUUUGGAGUAUCCUGCUUGCUUCUUGUACCAUUCCCUUUCUAAAUUUUGUUAGCUAUGCAGGUGGCAUCUCUUAAAGACACAAUUGCCAAAAAGGAUGAUGAGAUUGAGCGAUUACAAUUACUUAAAGAUCUUAAAAACGUGUAUCCUGGUGUCAAUAGUGAGAAGCGUGGAUUGAAUACAUUCAGGUAUAGAUCUCUCUUUCCAAACACAGGUUCUAUAGAUGGGACACCUCUUAGCAAAGCCCAAAACCAUCAAGAAGGUGUGGCUUAGGACUUUCCGGGAAAACAGCUUCCUAUCAAAAUUGCUGUUCAGAUAUAGGCAUUCCAAAGUUGAUGUACAGCUGUCCAUGAAUGAUUUAAUAUAAAUUUGUAUUUUAUAUUACUGACGACAAAGUCUUUCUGUGUGAACAGAAGCUGAUGGCUCUGCAGAAUAUAAUCUUCAUCAUGAAGGGAACAGAAUGGUUGGAGAAUUUGGAAAUGUGAGUUUUACUUCUUUUUUAUUUUAUUUUGUUUUUUUGUUUUUCAGGCAUCCCUUUAGAUUAUAUGUACCGCACUAUUCAGUGUUUUUUCAAAAGAAAACAAUUUGAAGAAAACUAUCCCUCCGAAAUUGAAUUCUCAGUACUUUCUUUCUGUUCAUGAAACAAAAUCGUGAUUCUAAAAAAUACUUAGCAAUAAACAUGCAUGCAUGGUUUUUUAAUAUAGUUCCAGUUUCUUUUCUAAUAAAAAAAUAAAAAAAUAAAUAGACACGAUUGCACGGUCAUGCUCAUCUGAAAAUUCAAAUUGGAGAAGAGAGAUCUAGGUGGGGCUGAGAUCAGGUUUGGGGAGAGUGCUAAAGCACCAGUUGCGUGUUGUGAUUAAUAUCCAUUUGGCUGCUCAAAAGACAUUUGAAUUUGGAAUGCCAGUAUAAAUAUAUGCAUCAUAGCCAUUUAAUGAACAUAUUUGAACUCCCACUUUUAUAACUUUAGAUCCAAUUUAUGCAGGCCCAAACCAACAUAAAAAAUUACUCAACACCUGCAAAAUUCAUAGAAUACAUAAACGGAAAGUCAAGUGGCAAAUGACUCAUUCCAGGUGUCAACAUGUAUGUGAAAACAAUAAUUCUUCCCAAUUUAUUGUUUGUCCAUACAAUUGGAUAGAAUAAACUGACUUUAUCUCCACUAAGUAAUCAUUUUAUGUAGCAUUAACAUUCUAAACAAUCGCCUUUUUCAGGUAAAAGAAGACUGUACAUGGGAGAUCUACGUUGCUCAAACCCCCCAAGUGGUUGCAGUGAAUUAGGCCACAUUUACUUACAUACAUGUUACAUAUAAAUUAUUUAUUUCCUUCAUUUAGUUAGCUGUUUUCUGCAACAUACGUAGUUUGCAAAUUAAAUUCCCACUAGGUUAUGCCUGGAAGUUCUUCACCCAUUAUGUUUGUGGUUACCAGGUUUAUGCUUGUAAUACUAGUGCUUUCUUUUGGUCAGAAACUGUAAUUUAGGUCAUUAUAUUGCGGAGUAUGUACAUGUGUAAAUAUUGUAAUGUCACUGUAUUUUCAUGAGUUGCAGAAAAGCUCCUACAUCAGUGCACACUUUUCCUUCGAAGUUUUCAGUGCACAGAUGACAAGGAAAUUUUUGUGGAAAAUUGUUGUUGAUGAUAUACAAUUUCUACUGCAUUCUAUUCUUUGUCUUGUUGUUUCAGUUUGCUUCUUUGUGGGCGGGGGGAUGGGUAGCAUAUUAUUAAUUGAUAAAGGAAAUAUGGGAGAGCCAGAAUGCCAGAGUUCUUAAUAUCUUUGAAAGGCUUCUGAAGGUAAGAGCUGCAAAUGGAGAAUGUCCUUUAGUGCCAAGCCAAGCAGAGCAAAUGCCGUACUGCUUUUGGUCCCUAUAUCGUAAUGCAGGGGAAUGGUAUUUGCUCCCUUUUGGUUUUAUUUUGAGUAAGUAUGGCUUUAACAAAGCCACUUAGUAUGAUCUGUGAUGAAAAAUUUGUGGGCAGCCCUACCUCUCACCACUUUUCUGAUUGCUCAAUGAUAAAAUUUAAAUAGGUCACUUAAUUGAUCUCCCCUCAAUUGCUACCAUGUAAUAACAAAACAAGAAACACCGCGAGAGUCAAGAGCAGGCCCCAUUGGAGAGGCUUUAACAAAACCACUAGUAUGAUCCGUGAUGAAAAAUUUGGCUACCCUACCUCUCACCACUUCUCUUUCUUGAUUCAAUUUAUUUCCAACAGCAGUGUCUUCAGUGAACGUAAAUAACUGUAGCCAUAUAUAUAUAUAUAUAUAUAUUUAUUACAUGAGACUAUUGCUCAGAUUACAACUCAUAUUACAUGAGACUAUAACUGAUAUUUACAAAUCAGACAAUUACUGGGACCAACUUACAUCAAUGCUAAUAGAACUCUGCCCAGAUUUUAACCCUCACAAAUAUUCGAGGGAUGUCUACUCCUCACUCAUGGGUAAGGAAGAAGACUACCUUCACUCAAAUUAAUUGAGAAAGAAAAUACCCCCACAAUAUUUUUGUGGGGGUUCGAACUGUUGCCCUCCAAGUUGGAGGGCAGCAGCCCUAGCCACUCGGGCUGAGCCGAGUGGUUAACUGUAGCCAUAUAUUUGGUGCUUCUGAUUAAGGACAGUGAACUUGACUGAGAGGAACAGGAAGGGACCACUAGAUUAUGAAUGUUUAGUUGGUCUGCAUCUGCUACAAGGUUUGGCAAAGUGGGGUUUGAAGCUAGAAAUGUGAAAUGCAAUUGGUAAUGGUAUGACCCGUCCUUAAAAGUGGGGAUCCUAAUCCUGUGUCAUCCCACGACAUGCAACAUGUUAUGGUUCCUCGUGCUUCCAUUGUUCUGUUCCUUGCAAAUAAGAAUCCACAACUUUUUAAAAACAAAAAUGAGAAUUCUACUAUUCAUUCAUUCGUUACACAAAAUAUCUUUGAUAAAGUUACGUAUAUAAUUUUUUUUUUUGAAGUGAUAAAGUAUUCAAUAAUUCAUAUCCCUCCAAGAAUUAAAAAAUAAAUGCUGCAUGGGGGUGAAUUAUUUCAAUUUUGUGGUUAUGACACACAAAAUCAUCUUCUGCCGCGUGGCUCCUCCUCUAGAUCAAAAUCCGACCGUAGGAUGUAACUCCACCGAAGCCAACAAGCAUAUAUAAAUAACAAGAGGAGCAUUCACAAGAACAUCUUGUACUAGCUAGAAACAAGAAAACAAAAAUGGCAUGCCAAAUGAUUUCAACAGCAAGUGUUACCACCAGCACCACCACCACCGCAGUAGCUCAGGCAAGCAUGGCGGCACCGUUCAGCGGAUGUCCAAUUUGGAUCGAAAUGUAAAAUAUGAGUGCAAAAUAUUAAUGAUGAUUUGCCCUAUCAAGUUAAUGUCAAGAUGCAUUGGUGUUAGUCUACUUUUAAAAAAUCUAAAAAAAAAAGAAAUCAAUCUGACAUUGUUGCAUAUCUGUUUAUUUAAGGAAUUAAUUUAACAUGACAUUAGUAAGUACAUAUAAUUAAUUGUGUCUACCAAAAAAAAUAUAAUAUGACUUUAGUCAAAAUUAUCACAUGUCAAGUUAUUAUUUAGUUUACCAUUUCAUUAUCACUAGAUAGUGAUUUAUAUGAUAUGAGAGUUACAUGAAUGUUACAAUAGUUAAUGUUUAAUGAUAGGAAUCUUGUUAGAAAAAUAUGUAAAUUGUGCUUUUUAUUCAUAGAUUUACUAAAGCUAAUGAACCUAAGUGUUAAUCCACAAUUGAAUUUUUUUUUUUUUUUCUAUUUUUAUAAUAAGAAUUAUCGUUGGCGAUUUUGCGCCAGCAUCGGGUUUUGCUGUGACUUCUUUGUUUCCCACAAAACAAAAAUGAUAAAGCUUAAAGAGUAAACAAAUUCAUGUGUUUUGAGUUUUGACUAGAGCUCUGUAAUGGUACACUUAGGCCGUCGAACUUCAAUUGUAUUAAAUUUUAAUAUAUCCGAUUAAUUGUAAAUUUGAGUGGGAUUUUAAUAGAGUUUAAUUUUGAUUGAAUUGUACAUAAUUUUUUCAUUUUUUAUUUAAAAAAAAAAAAGACUACGGAUUACUUACCAACCAUAAAUAUGCUGAUCAACCCCAGGGUCUUUAAUAAAAUUAAACAAAUUCCGUGACCGACUCAGGCAACCCAAGUCCUUUACUGAAAUGAUUAAUUACAAAGAUAUAAACUUACCACCUUAGCUGGUCUAAUUUAUGUGUUCAUUAUUUAAUUAAUAUCGUCUAAUUAUCAUAUUAAUAAUAAUAUAGUCUCUAAUAGCGAAUUUAUCAAUAAGUGGACAAUUGCGUAUAAAACACUUAACUUAAGAAUUUCUCUGGUGAAAAUCACAAAUAUAAGGUGGAGGGAUGCAAGAGACUAUGGUCACUUUUAAGGCUGUUGUAAGCGAUAACGAAUUACGGGCUUCAUAAUUCUGUCUGUCAUUUGUCCGGCAAAGCAAAAUGACGACAGAUCGUCUAAUCAUUAAAUAUGUGAAUGUCAUGUCGUUUGAUAAUAAAUUGAUAAACGAUAUGUCAUCUAGUGGAUGCGAUACUAUUGACAUGUCAUCCUAAUUUAAAUUAUACGGAUGUCCUAUCAGCUAUAAGUAAAAUAUAAACGAUGCGUCAUCAUAUGUAGAUGCACGGUCGCAUAUUAUUUACGCUCGUCAGUUACGAAAAUUACAUUUUCUGACAUGUCAUCUUUAUGUUCGGUAUGUGGAUGUCUCGUCGUUUACUGAAAGAACGAUAAAAGACGCAUCAUCCAAAUGAUAUUUACAAUUGUCGGUUUCAAUAAAUUUAAGUAUAAUUUACAGUAGUUAAUUUAUUAAUUAUAUAUUUAAGCUAUUAAAUUACAUUAAAGCUUAGCUUUUCUAAUUUUUCUUUAUAAUGAAUAUUGAAGGCACAACCCUAAAGAGCGAAAUUGUCCAAAUAAAAAUUAAGUAUUCCUCAUAGAAUUCUAUAGCAAACUAAAUAUUAGAUUUAAAUUUCACUUUGCUAUCAUCUCCUCUCCUCUCUUUUAUUUUGAUUUUCUCUCGUUUCUUACAACUAGACAUCAUCUCUUGGGGCUAAAUAACAUUGCUAGUUAUCAUUACAAUUCUUAUUCUCUUAAUAUUGUAAAUAUUAUAGGAAAAGAUAACAACACACAACAAAAAUUUUCAUUGAUGAUCGUGAAUUUUUUUUCAUCACUAUAUUUUUUUCAUCGCUCCAACAAAAAUUUCAUGUUAUUGUUGUUGUUGUCGUUGUUGUUAUUAUUAUUAAAUAAUAAAUUAAUAAUAGUAUUAAAAAAGUUAAUUUAUACGAUUAACUAAAAGAUUACUAUAUAGAUCUCUUUUUGGACAAUUAUGUCCAGAUGAAUAUAUAUACUUGGGUCAGUUAGAGCCCAUAGUUGUUCAAAUAGAGAUACGAUGAUUUUUGGUUUUUUAGUUAAUGUGACAUGUAUGCGCUUCAAUUGGAUUGCCAAACCAACAAUGAUCACUAGAGUUUAGAAGCUAUCAACAUAUAAUUUAUCAAUAUGUGGAAAAUUAUGAUAAAAUACUCAAGUUAAGAAUGUACUUGCUCAAAAUCACAAAUACAAGGCCGAGAAUGUUAAAGACUUUCUAAUUAUCUGAAUCUUUUAUUUCAUAUUAUCCAAGUCACGUUACUCAAGCCAGCAAAAAAAAAAAAAUGUUGCUUGAAAACCAUUCAACCAAGUCCUUAAAGACGAUUUCCUCAAAAUAUUUGGAUAGACAUUUUAUUAUCCAAGUCACGUUACUCAAGCCAGCGAAUGUUAAAGACUUUCUAAUUAUCUGAAUCUUUUAUUUCAUAUUAUCCAAGUCACGUUACUCAAGCCAGCAAAAAAAAAAAAAUGUUGCUUGAAAACCAUUCAACCAAGUCCUUAAAGACGAUUUCCUCAAAAUAUUUGGAUAGACAUUUUAUUGAUAAUACUUUAGACGAGUAACAUGACUUAUUAUGAGAUGCAGUAAAAAAACAUAUAAUAUAUUAAUAAUGUUUGGAUUGAAUCUAUCAAUUCAUUGAGUAUAAAUUGGUAAGAGAUUCAGAAAUAUUAAGAUUUGAAUGUAACCUAAACUUGAGACUAAUUCAGGUUUUGUUGACUUGACGCCGCUUAAGACUACUCAUCGAGGAGAUUAAUUUCAUUCAAUCAAUGAAUAAUAAAAAAUAAUGGAUAGAGAUUCAGAAAAUUUCAUGAAAGAAACAGUAGCAUUUAAACAAACAGAAAAAAGAAACACACCAAUUACAGAGAUUCAAUUUGCAGGGACAAAAGGAAAAAAAAAAGGGCCAACAAUUUUACAAUGCUAAAUACAUAUACAGGAAAAAUGGUCAUAUUCUUAAGUAAGUACCAACUGAACACAACGUACUGAAAGAAUUGAAAACAUACAAAAGAAAAAAGAAACCAAUAAAAACAAGACAUAUUUUCAGUCUUUUGGGGUGAAAAGUUGGUCACAGCUGAAACUUUCUGUUGAGUCUGGGGCAUGAAAUAAACGGAUCCCACAUUUUUUCGCCGGCCAAUCCAGAGAUUCAAAACUAUUAGUAUACCGCACAUAGAACCGGACUGCCACAGGAACCCGAUUGUAUUUCCGAAAAUCAUUAAAUUCCUUAUCAUCGAAGAAAUAGCACCCAAAGAAUAAGUGAUCAGACACUACACAAUCACUUACCCCAAGUAACAUCCUCCGGCUCGUGCUGCAGUGCGGAAGAUAAUCUUUGGGUCUCACUAUGUAUUCACAGUACAUGUAAAACCGUUUUUCUAUUUUUGAAGUGCAGAAAAAGCUAAACUCUCUGCUAAAAUUUACAAUAACGCUAAAAGCAAGCCCAAUGACACUUUUAUCAUUGAAGAAAUCUGGUGGCAUCUCCAAGGUUACACAAGAUCCGGCACUUUGAAAGCUAAACCACUUUGGAAUUUCAUUCCAAGGUAAAAAGCCGCGACCUUCACGGGAUGGAUAAGAUAUCUAUAUAUACACACGAAUCAAAAUUAAAAAAAAAAAAUUGUUAAUAACACUUAAUAGAAUAAAGAUCACUAAAAUUUAAACAGAAAAAUUUAAUAAAAAAAAAAACAGAAUUAACUGUAAAAUUAUACGGCAUUGAAGAAAGAGGACAAAAUAAUCAAUUAACAUUAUAUCACCAAACACCACGUUAUGUUAUAGUUCAUUCUGUCAUCGCUUUCUUUAGCUUUUCUUCUAAAUAAAAAGGAGAGAGUUAAUUAAAGACAUACCUUUUCCCGUGCUUCUUUUAAACGUGCGGUUGCCAAAAGCUGAAUUUUCUGCAGGGCGCCUUUGACAAUUCCUCCGAGGUCAUUCGGAUCUAAUUUAAAAUUAUCGCCCAGGUUCAAAGUCCGUAAAUAAGAUUCAUUACUACUUGGGAAUAAACCUGGUAAUGAUUCCAGUGCCGUGCAAUGAUGCGCAUCCAACCAAACCAGAUUGCAUGGAAGCUUUGGUAAGGAUUGAAGCCUCUCGCAAUACCUUAUGAAGAGCCUUUCCAAAUUAGAAAGUUGUAUGAUGCUUUCUGGUAUUCUCUCAAAAUUGUUUCCGUCUAGAUGCAGUUCUGUUACCAAGGAUAACAGGCCAAGACUUUCAGGUAACUCCGUGAUGCCGCAAUCAUUUAGAUUUAAAUCCCUUAGAUUUUGCAAGCCAUCCACAGAGAAUGUGAUUGGCAAUGAUAAACCCCUGUUUCUCCCAAAAUAUAUCGCACGAACGCUUUUCAAACGGACGAUCGAUGGCGGUAAUUCUCUUAUAGCAGUUCCUACAGCAUGCAAACUAUCCAAAGCUUCUAAAUAUCCAAGUUCCUCAGGCAACCUCUGAAGAUUUGAGCAACCAUCGAUAUUGAGAACAUCUAGAGAUUUCAACUUACAAAGGCCGCUUGGGAGACUCUUGAGACUUUUACAAUCUGCAAGGUCCAAGCGCGAAAGCUUAGAUAGACACUCGAUGGAUGAGGGCAGUUCCUCCAGUGCAGUUCCAUCUAAAUGCAUUGUUUCUAUAUUACCAGAUGAGAUCUCUGGAAGCCUCUUCAGUUUUGAGCAGCCCGAAAGAUUGAGUUCUUUAAGCAAUUCCAAAUGAAUUCUAUCUGGAAGACUUUGCAAGUUUCCACAACCGCUUAGGUUCAGGAUAGCUAGCUUGUUCAGAUGUUGAGUCGACAACGGGGUUGGAGUUUUUGAAAAAAAAUUGAAGGCAGCAGUGAUUAUCUGGUAUAACUUGCCAUGAUUCUGCUCGGACGAAAAGAGAAAAAACCCAAAGAGGAAAAAAAAAAAAAAAAAAAAAAGCCCACCAAGACAAAUCAUUAGCAUGUAUGAUAAUUAAACAUUGUUACCGAAACUCUAUUGUAAUUAAGAUAUAUGUAUAUAUACCUGCACAAUAUCGAAAAGUUGUUCAAUAUUGCUAUAAGGCAUUUCAAGUAAAACAAGUUUCUCUGGAUGAAUAUUUGAAGGCAAUGAUUUCAAUGGAUAUCCAUGCCAGUGCAGGUACCUCACUUCAGUAAAUUCAGAACCUUGGAAAUGGGACACCUUACAUUUAUUCUCUUCAUCCAUUGAGUUAUAAAAUUUCAAAAUUCUCAAGUUAGGCAUCUUUGCGAAAACGUUGGGAUGCAGAUUGAUGUCUUUUACUUUAGACAUAUCCAACAAGAUGCCCUCGAUUGCUUCAGUCCCCUAAUUAUCAAUAAUAGGAAAAAAAAAGAUUAUAUCAAAUUGUUAUAUAUAAUUCAAGUUGAUAGUUACUUUAUGGCAGUCAAACUCAUAUUUGUAAAAGUACAAAGAAGCAUAAUUAAUACAAGAAAAUAUAAACAUUUAAACUAUAUCUGUAUGUAUGUAUACAAAUUGUUAUAUACAAGUGGACAUAACAUAUUGCUGCACACUUCCGCAAUCAUCCAGGUCAGGUUUUAUACAAUUGAAUCCAUUUUCUCUUUUCUUAUUAAACUAUGGGGCUAAUUAUUUUGGCAAAUAUAAAAUAGAAAAAUUCAAGAAAAGGUUUAACAUGUAAAAUCUAAUAUUAAUUUCAAUAUUCCCAGAAAAAUAUUACUAUUUACAGGGUGAGACGUAUUUAUAACCCCAAAUGAACUUUUCUUUUUGAGAAUUUUAAUUGUAAUUAAAGAAUCUUAAAAGUCAAGAGACCAUUACGUAAUGAAUUAAUGAUGAAAGAAAUGUCGUGUUAAGAGUGCAAAGAAAAUUACCGAUGAAAAGGCUAUUAAAAAUGAGGAAAUUGAAGUGUUUAGGAGAGAACAAAUGUGAUGAAUAAUGUGAAAAACUUAAUUUGAAUUUGUGAUCAACAUGGUAAAAAAGAAUUAAUGAACAAGGAUAAGCGGACUUUAAACCAUUAAUAGAAAGUACAGGGGUUAGAAUUUUUUUGCACCAAUUGUUGUUAUUCAAAUUAAAAGCAAAGUUCAAUCAGAAUAUUAAUCUCAAUCAAACAUAUAAAAAAAAAUAGAAAUGAAAAAUUAUUGUUGCGCACCCUGUUUUCUGAUAAAAUUUUAUAAACCUCUUUGUGAUGCCACAGCCGACUGCGUUUUCCAGGAUCAUUGGUAGAUUCUUGUCGGACAAUUUCUCUGCCCAUAGCUCGCAAUAAAUCAUGCAUUUUUAUUUUAUUGCGGACUGAUAUAGUGAUAAGAUGCUUAUCAACAAGAACUUCUAUUCCCGAUGUAGCAAAGAAUUCACAAUCAUCAAGGAAUUUUGUCACAGUGUCUCUGUCCUCAUCGAUAAAGAAACAUGCAAUAUCCAAAAAAACAUUUUGCUCUUUGUCAUCCAAACCAUCAUAACUUAUUUUUAAGGCGUCCUGAAUUCCUUUGGGGGGAGCUGUUUCCCAUUUACUUAUUGCAUUUUCCCACACCUCUCUUCUCUUUCCAUAAAGAUAGCGACCCAAAACUUCAAGUGCUAAUGGAACUCCGCGAGCAUAUUUUAUUAUCUUGCAUGCCAGCUCUGUAUGACUUUCAUGGGGAUGAUCUCCUUCAAAGGCAUGUCGACUGAAGAGCCUAAGGGCGUCAUCAUGUACCAAUUCCUUCAUCUGAUAUACUUCAUCAACUCCACAAUUUGCAAGCACUUGUCUAUCUCUCGUUGUUAUUAUUAUUCGACUCCCGGAAGCAAGCAAAUCGAGACGUCCAACUAAAAUCUUUAUUUGUCUUGGAUGAUUCACAUCAUCAAAAACAAUUAGAACCUUCUUGCGAGUAAGCUUCUUGCUCUGAAAAUUGAGGUCGAUAUUCGGAAAGUUCUUCACAUUUCCAUCAUUCAACAAUGUAGAAAGAAGUUGUUGUCGCAAGUCACCUAAUCUGCCGGUUUCUUCUGCCUCUCUAACAUUACGAGCAAAGAAAGAACCUGCAAAAUGUCUAGAGAUUUUGCUAAAAAUGGCACCCGCAAUGGUUGUUUUGCCUAUACCGCCGAUACCCCAAAUGCCAAGUUUGUAAACAUUCGUUGACCCAGUGCGUAACAAUGAUUCAAUUUCUUUCAUGGGUAAUCUAACUCCGACCAGGUCUUCGUUUUCACUUUGAAAUGUGUCAUCCACCCUCUUCAAAAUUGCAUUGACAAUUUCCUCUAUAAGUGCAGAUUCAGUCCUAGCAAAAAAGUAACAAUAUUUAGAAGUUCACAUGUAUGAAAAGGAGAGGGAGAUCAGAGCGUGCAUUUUUAGCUAAUUUAAUGUAUGGGAAAAUGAUCAGAAUACAAAAUUCUUUUAUUAAAUUAAUCAUUCAUUAACGAUUAAAUUUAAUAAAUAACAAGAGAGUUGAGAUCAUUUUCUUAAAAAAAAUAAAUUGAAAACUAGAUAUGCGUGCAAAUUUAAGAGAGAGAAUUAUUGUUGACCUAUAGACACGAGAAUCAAAGCCAGAGAGAUCGGCUGCUUCUGUCAAAGCAUUCCUCCAACUUUGCAUCUUGUCCGGGAAUCGUUCUCCAAGCUUCAAAAAUGAAUCCCCAAAAUUACCGGUUUGCUUUCUCACGUGUGAUGGAUCAACCCGAUAGAAAGCUGGUAUCACAAUCUGUGCAUACUCUUUCUUGCAUUCGAGGAUCUUUAGGAGUUCAUCCAGGCACCAUCUGGAAGAAGCAUAUCUUUCCGAAAAAACGAUAAUUGAAAUGCUUGAUGCCUCAAUUGCAUCCACAAGAGACUGCGAAAUUUCAUCUCCCCUCCUCAGAUCGUCAUCAAUGAAAGUUUCUAUGCUUUCCCGAGACAAAGCUGAAUAAAGAUGGCUAGUAAAGUUCUCGCGCGUGUCCUCUCCUCUGAAACUUAGAAACACAUCAUACUGGACUUCAGGAUUAGUCAAACUACCAUGUGGAUGAGAGGAAGAAGAAGAAGAAGAAGCCAUAACAGUUCAAUUGAUGAGAGAGAGAUUUUGAUGAUCAGAUGUAAAUUACUCAAUGCCUUGGAAAACUUGGUUGAGCUGAUUUGUUGACUUCAACUGAAGAAACAAAUAAUGGAUGACAGCUAAAUCCGACCGCACAAAUUGCUUCAUUUUUGUGUUGGAGAUUAUGGCCGUACUGUAUGUACGUAUCACGUUUUUGCAUUUAGCGCGUCUUUGGAAUACAGCUUAGAUACCAUUAAAAACACUGUUCUCAUUAAAGAAAUACUAUCACAACUUUGGCUAAAAAAGUAGAAGAAAUUACACUGCAUUAAAAUUCAAAUUAAUGCAAUUUUUACCGCGUUAUAUAGUCACGUCUUCCCCUCGGGUUUCAACAGCAAUGCACUAACUUUUAAUUUAUUAUUUCAUUAAGUUUUAUUAAAUUAGUGUUGUUAUUUGUAUAGACAAAUUAUUAUCUUGAAAAUUAAUGCUCAACAGCAGGCCAGCAGCUACUCCAAAUCACCAUUGUCGCCACCGACCACCAUUGCCGCGCGCCUCCAGCCCCCGGAUUGAAAUCCUUAUCAAUGGAGCGUUGCAACGUACAUCUUUUAUCGGAAAUGGACCAUCCGUUGUUCGCCGUGAAUCUAUGGUAAGAGUUUAAAAUUUUAAAAUUUUGACAGUAAAUAUAGUGAACCAAAGCUCCGUUACUGAUAACACAUAUACCGUUGACGGUUCAUGUUGGUCGACAGUAGUUGUGGCAACCGUUGGUGAAUUAUUAUUAUUUUUAAUAAAUUUUGUGGCAACCGUUGGUGAUUUAUUUUAUUUUUUUAAUAAAUUUAGGCAAUAAAUUAAAUAUAAUUAACAACUCCUACAUUCACUAAUACAAUAUACUCUAACGCAAUACAAUGUGUCGAAUACAUACUUAAAGGAUUACUCAAUGACAAUGCAUAUCAAAUUAUCAAGGAUAUGCGUAUGGUACAUUAUUAUAUUGCAAUGCAGUAUGUUAUUUUACGCGGAUUAUAUUGUAUUCGAUUGUAUUGCAUUGAUAUUGUAUUGUAUAUUUAUAUUCUUGUUAUACAUCAUUUUGUCCUACAUUAUAUUUUUUUAAUUAAAUUUUAAGUAAUUCAUUAAAAAUUUAUGUUUUCAUAAAAAAUAAUUAUUACAAUAACUUAGAAUACAUAAAUUCUUGAAAUUUUUACAUCAUUUUUUAAUUUUUAAUUGGAAACACGACCUUUAAUGUUACAUUACAAAAUCUCACGGCUAAUAUUUAAGAUAUCAGAAUCAUAAAAGAACAAUACAAGUAGGGACAGUGGCAGAUGUAAAAAAAUAAUUUACCAGGGGCUAAAUUAAAUAAUAGUAAAAUAUAAAAACUGAAAACUUGGAUAUAAUUUUUUUUUAUUUAAUGCAAUCUCUAAUUAAAAUGUGGCACCCACAAUUCAAUAAUUAGGAAUUAUAAAUAUUUUGGGCUGUAGGCUUUAAUUUUUAAGUCAAAGUAUAACUUUUGUAAUUAAUAAAAUAAUAGUUUAAAUUUUAAAGGAUGGGGCUUUCUAAUAAUUUGAAAAUACUAUUUAGAAAUAUAUUAAUUUUUCUUUAUGAAAUAGAGAUUUUUUUUUUUCAGUGGGGGCUUGAGCCCACAGUGGUCCUAUAGUGAAUCCACCUCUGGAUAGAGAUGGCAAUUGUGCCCGCAAACCGGCCCGCUGCGGAUAAUUUUACGGGUUGUGAGCGGGUUUGGUAUUACGAAUUGAAAUCCGCACUUGGAUGCGGGUGGGUUUGACAUUAGCGCAAUAUCUGACAGAUACAUGCAUGGAUAUCCGCUAGACCCGCAAUAUUUUUUAAAUAUAUUUAAUUUAAUUUUAAUUAAAAAAAUUAAAUCUAAAAAUAUAUAUAAAGAAAAUAAUGCAAUUAUGCAAAGUGCCAAAUAACCAAAGUGUUUUUGUAUGGACUAUUUUUCUUUAACUCAAUGCAUGAAUUAUUUCAUUAUUAUAAUUUUUUUGGGAUUAAUAUUUGAAAGGUAUUAUUCUUUGAAAAAUAUUAAUUUUAAUCAUUAUUGUAGGCAUCGUGUUUGAUAAGUGCUAAUGAUGGUAAAUGAAAUGAAAAUAUUUUCUUGGAGCUUGUGUUGAAUGAUAAUAUGAAAUGUAAUUGUUAUUUUUAAAUACUAGUUUGUGAUUUUUUUUUAAUGGAUUUGUGUAUUUUAUACUUAAAUUUGAGAAUUUGUGUUGGAUUGAUUUUGAAAUUUUAAUUUUUCAUUUACAUUAGUCAAAUUUAAAAUUGAGUAUGCUAUGUAGAAUUUGAGCUUAUUAUUGUAAAUUUAUAUAUUGAAUAUUUGUGAUUUUAAAUGUACAAAUUCAUAAAAAAUCCACCAAAUAUCAUUGCGGUUUUUUAAUUAUCAAAACCCGCAGCGGGUUGCAAUUAGAUUUGAUAAUUUAAAUUUUGUUCGAGUUUAAAUUUAAUAAUGGUAAACUCGCUGCGGGUGGUGCCCAUAGCCACCCAAACUGGACUGUAUAAAAAAUCUUAUAAAGCAAAUUGAAGUGCAUUCUUCUUGUCGUGAAAUGUGGGGCGAAGAGAUCAGCCUACGCCAUCAAUGAAAGAAAAUAAUUAAAGGAGUCAAUGAUCCGAGUCACCGUUGCAGUACUAGUCAUUGGGGCCUUCGCUUGAUAAUUACAACAUUUGGAGGUCCAUUUGCAGGCAAAGUCCAACCGUAGGAGAAGGUCAUGCACAUUCGCUUUUCCUUUCCCAUUAGAUAAGGUGAUGAACAUCAUCUGCCACGUGGCAUCUCCUUUUGAUCAAAGUCCAACCGUAGGAUGUGACUUCGACAAAGGCAACAAGUAUAUAUAUAAAAAAAGGGAGCAGAGCAAGAAAAUUAAUUCACCAGAAUAUUUUGUACUAACUAGAAAGAAGAGAGCAAAAAUGACAUCCCAAAUGGUUUCAACGCACCAUGUUUGUAUGUUACCGCAACCACCGCAGUAGCUCAAACAAGCAUGGUCGCACAAGGUGGCGUAGCAAGAAAAUCAAAUUAACGGAGUUUUUAAUUAAAUACCCUUCAAUAGUUACAAAAUUAUUUAAAUACCCCCUCACUUUUUAGUUUUCAUGGAUACCCUAACAAAUAUGAGUAAAGUCUGAAAUAUCCUUAAUGAAUGCAUCAAAUUCACUCAACUUCACUAUCUUUAUAUAUCUUUCACCCACAUCUCUUCUUACCGCCGAAAUUCUCUCAAAAUCUCCUAAAAUCUAUCAAAAUCUCUCAUAACUUCUUACACAAAUACAAUUAUGUAUUCAUUUCUUUAAUCCCCACUCUUUCUUUAACUGAAAGGAGAUGCAUUGUUUAUUAAACAACCCAAUAAGGUAUGUUAAUGUUGUUAGGUUUUAAGUUUUUUAAUUUUUAGGAAAAUUUAGAAAAUUUUCUCACAUUAUAAUGUUUUAUUUUUAAUUAUUUUCACCAUUUUUUCUUAUAUGUAGAAAUAUAUGCAAUGUAGGUUGUUUAAUUAUUUUUUCAGCAAUAUAAUUUAUUUAUGGCGAAAAUGUUUCGCGUCGUAAAUUCCUUUUGACAUCGUGUACGUCAUGUAGUCAGUCAUGUAGGUCAUGUAGUCAUCUAGGUCGUGUAAUUCGUGUAAGUCAUGUAAGUAAUAUAGUCAUGUAGGUCGUGUAAGUCAUGUAAGUAAUGUAGUCGUGUAGGUCGUGUAGUUACUUGUAUAUGAAAUUUGAUAUUAUUUUUUUUAUUGUAUCAUCAGAUAUGAUUUUGGUACGUGCACCUAUUCUCUUCAAUGGUGAAUGUAUUGAGAAAAAUGACGAGUAUAAGUUCAAAGAUUCUAAGGCUAAAGGAAUAAUGAUACUACGAUCAACAACAUAUACCGAAUUGGUGGAGAAGAUAGUUGCAUUAUGAAAGAACUUAAUUUUUCGACUAAAAUUUGUUGCAUUAUGAAAGAACUUAAUUUUUUUAGAUUCCAAUUUAUGUAUCAUGUUAAUAUUGAUUUAUCCUCGUUUUCAAUAAAGGGAAAUCAAACUUAAUUGAUUUCAUUUAAAAAGCUUUUUUGUUUAGUCAGUUUAUAAGUACUAGUUAUGGGCAAGCAUGUAAACAUUUCUUAGUAACUGUUAAAUAUAUGGUAUUUUAUAUGGUAUAAUCUGUACGCACAGUUAAUUAGGUUCAUAAAUUGCAGCAAAUCCACUAAAUUUGCACAUCGGACAGUUCGAGAAAUAAUUAGAUUCAUUAGUAUAAAUAAACAACGUUAUCAGUGCACAGAUUUUUCAAUAUUUGGAUAGAAUACACUAAUGAGCAUCACAAUUAAACAGAUUACAACCAUUUUAUUCUUUUUUUAUCUUGAAAGUGCUUUCUUCCUCUUCCCAAGCAUACAUGCAUACAUGAGGACUGCCUGCAUAUAAUAAUUCCAUGAAAUCAAUUAAGAAAAAAACAUAUCAAUUAUAGGAAAUUGACUACACUUAAAUACACAGAAGAACACCAUUUAGAAAUAAUAAAAAUAAAUCAAACCUUAAGAAACAACUCUUAAUCAAUUCAAAAAACAAUACUCAACUAUUUAGAAGUAAUACAUGAAGGUCGUGUAAUACAUGAAAGUCGUAACAGUCGUGUAAUACAUGAAAGUAGUGUAAUCGUGCAAUACAUGACGGUCGUGUAAUUGUGCAAUACAUGUUUGGAUGGAAAUGGAGAGCUGCUGUACCGUACAUCCGCCUUGGCCGUACAGCAGAAAACUAAUUAGAGGGAAUUACUUACCUCAAGUAGUUACAUUCUGAUAAUUUUACAAUAAAGGAUUAGCGCUCGCCGGCGAUUGUGUAGUGAUAAACUAGGAUUCUCUUUCUCAGUUGUGGCAUCUUGCCCUUCUCAGGCUCAGUUUGCUCGUAUUGAUGUUCAAUUUAGCAUGUAUGGAGAAUGAGUGUUUGUUUGAGUAGAUGUGAUGCCGGUGAGGGAAUUGCAGAGGUGAGGGAAUUGAGAAUGGAGGAUGAGUGUUUGUUUGUUUGAGCAGAGGUGAUGCCGUUUGAGUUGAAGUGUUUUAAAAUAAGGAUAGUUUAGUAAUUUCCUAUCAGUUUUUUAAAGGGUAUUGAUGAAAAUUUUGGCAAAUUCUGAUUUUAGGGUAUUGAGAUAAUUUUUAAAGUAUCGAGGUGUAUAUGCUGCAAUUCCCUCAAAUCGAACAUCAAUACAAGUAAAUCAAGUCGGAGAAGGGGAAACUGCAACAAUUGAGAACGAGAAGCCUAGUUCGUCACUGCAUAAUUGUCGGUCAGAGCUGAUCCUUUACUGUAAAAUUGUCAGAAUCUAACUAUUGGAGGUAAGUAAUUCUUUAUAAUUACCUUUCUUGUUGAUAUUUAAGGAAAAAUAAAAAAAUUUAGGGUUUUAUAUUGAAAAAGUAGAUUAAUUAGUUGUGGGUUUCUCAUAACAUAUUCAAAAAUAAAUUUCUAGUUGUUCUACUGCAUGUAAAUUGUGAAAAAUCGAUGGAUUGUACUGAUUAUAAUUUGGUCAUGUAACACCUGAUUUAGUCGUGUAAGGUCGUGUAACAGGGAAUUUAAGGUUGCGCAAUACACGAGUUCAUAUAAUACACGACCCUUAGUUGUAUAUGACAUGACUUUUUUGUAAUAUUACACAACUGUCAAUCAUGUAUUACAGCAUCUUCACGAACUUCAGUUGUAUAUUACACGACCUGCAUGUAUUGCGUGAUUACUCAACCUUCACAUCUUAUACGAUUUCACGACCUUCUUGUAUUACACGAUUACACAACCUUCACGUAUUAUUCUAGUCAAUUUCCUCUCAUUGGUAUGCUUUUUUCCUCUCAUUGAUAUGCUUUCUCGUAAUUGAUUUCAUGGAAUUAUCAUAUGCAAGCAGUCCUCAUAUGUAUACAUAUAUGCUUGGGUAGAGGAAGAAUGCACUUUUAAAAUAAAAAAGAAUAAAAUGGCUGUAAUUUUUUUAACUGCUAUGUUAAUUAGUGUAUUAUAUCCAAAUAUUAAAAAAUCUCGAGAGAACUUUGUUUGUUUAUACUAAUUACUCUAAUAAUUUCUCGAAAUGUUGGACAUGCAAAUUUAGUGGACUUGUUGCAAUUUUAUAUUUCAUUUCAUUUACAAUUGGGGUGGUUGGAAAAUUAUAAGUCAUGGUAAAUCAUGUAUAAUUAAUGAGUUAGUGUAUACAAAUAUUUUUAAUUAACCGUGAGUACAACCGAGGUUCUUAUUAGGUUCUAUUACUACAUGUCAUACUUACCAAACUAAAAUACCAUAUAUUUAUAUAGUUUUUGUUAAAUCCAAGUUCCAACACCAUACACUAACCCAUUAAUAAUCAAUUUAUUAAUUUGUUAAUUUAUUUGUAAAUGAUCAAUUUAUCUUUUAAUGAUUGCAAAUGUUUCCUUUAAUAUAAUUUUGCUAGACAAUAGAAAUUGAUCUACGUUCAAAAGUAACGCAGAACGGGUUUCUAAACUCCAUUCCACUAGCUAAUUUCUCCAAAAAGAAUCCACAUCAUCAUUGGUUUGAAUUGUAACUGGUGGCAUAGGAUAAAAUGCCUUAAGCUUGAACUUCAUUGUAAUUUCAAAUUUCUGAAAUAUCUAUAUCAAUAACUUGAGCUAUCUUCUCCACCAAUUCGGCAUAUGUUGUUGAUCGUGGUAUCAUUAUCCCUUUAGCCUUAGAACCUUUGAAAUUAUAUUCGUACUUUUAUUCAAUUCAUUCACCAUUUAAGAGAAUAGACACAUGUACCAAAAUCAUAUAUGUUGAUACAAUAAAAAUAAUAUUAUUAAAUUUCAUAUAUAAAGUAUCUACACGAUCUACAUGACUUACACGACCUACACAACUACAUUACUUACAUGACCUACACAACCUACACGACUAUAUUACUUACAUGACCUACACGACCUACAUAGCUACAUGACCUACACGACUGACUACAUGACGUACGCGAUGUCAAAAGAAAUGCAUGACUCAAAACAUUUUCGCCAUACAUAAAUUAUAUUGUUCAAAAAAAUAAUUAAACAACCUACAUUGCAUAUAUUUCUACAUAUAAGGAAAAAUGGUGAAAAUAAUUGAAAAUGAAACAUUAUAAUGUGAGGAAAAUUUCUAAAUUUUCCUAAAAAAGUAAAAAAUUUAAAAUCCAACAACAUUAACAUACCUUAUUGGAUUGUUUAAUGAGUAAUGCACCUCCUUUCAAUUAAAAAAAGAGUGGGAAUUAAAAAUGUGAAUACAUACUUGUAUUUAUAUAAGAAGUUAUGGGAGAUCUUGAGAGAUUUUAGGAGAUUUUGAGAGAAUUUCGAUAAGAAGAUAUUUGAGUGAAAGAAGUGAAAGAACUAUGAAGACAAAAAAGUGGAGUAAAUUUGAUACAUUCAUUAAGGGUAUUUAAGACUUUACACGCAUUUGUUAGGAUACCCAUGAAAAUAAAAAAAGGAAGGAGUAUUUAAAUAAUUUUACAAAUUUUAAAGGGCAUUUAAUUAAAAACCCCUUUAGAUUAUAUGUACCGCACUAUCCCUUUUUUUUUUUUUUUAAUUUUAAAGAAAACAGUUUGAAGAGAACUAUCCCUCCUAAAUUCAAUUGUCAAUACUUUCUUUCUGUUCGUGAAACAAAAUCCUGAUUCUAAAAUUUCACUUCACAAUAAAUAAACGGAAAGUCAAAUGGCGAAGGACUCAUUUUAGGUGUCAACACGUACGUCAAAACAAUAAAUCUUCCCAAUUUAUUGUUUGUCCAUCCAAUUGGAUAGAAUAAACUGACUUUAUCUCCACUAAUUAAUCAUUUUAGUGUAGCAUUAACAUUCUAAACAAUUGCAUUUUCCAGGUAAAAGAAGAAUGUACAUGGGAGAUCUACGUUAAUUACUCAAACCUCCUAAGUGGUUGCAGUCAAUAGACCGCAUUUACUUGCGUACAAGUUACAUAUAAAUUAUUUAUUUCCUUCAUUUAGUUAGCUGGUUUCUGCAACAUACAUAAUUUGCAAAUUAAAUUCCCACUACGAUAUGCCCGGAAGUUCUUCACUCGUUAUAUAUUUGGUUACCAGGUUCACGCUUGUAAUAUUAAUGCUUUCUUUUGGUCAGAAACUGUAAUUUAGGUCAUUAUAUUGCGGACAAUGCGGAGUAUGUACAUGUGUAAAAAUUUUCAUGAGUUGCAGAAAAGCACCUACAUCAGUGCACAGAUGACAAGGAAAUUUUUGCGGAAAAUUGUUGUUGACGAUAUACAAUUUAUACUGCAUUCUAUUCUGUGUCUUGUUGUUUCAGUUAGCUUCUUUGUAGGCAGGGGGAUGGGUAGUAUAUUAUUAAUUGAUAAAGGAAAUAUGGGAGAGCCAGAAUGCCAGAGUUCUUAAUAUCUUUGAAAGGCUUAUGAAGGUAAGAGCUGCAAAUGGAGAAUGUCCUUUAGUGCCAACCCAAGCAGAGCAAAUGCCGUACUGCUUUUGGUCCCUAUAUCGUAAUGCAGGGGAAUGGUAUUUGCUUCCCUCUUGGUUUUAUUUUGAGGAAGUAUGGCUUUAACAAAACCACUAGUAUGAUCUGUGAUGAAAAAUUUGUGGGCAGCCCUACCUCUCACCACUUUUCUGAUUUCUCAAUGAUAAAAUUUUAAUGGGUCACUUAAUUGAUCUCCCCUCAAUUGCUACCAUGUAAUAACAAAACAAGAAACACCGCGAGAGUCAAGAGCAGGCCCCAUUGGAGAGGCUUUAACAAAACCACUAAUAUGAUCCGUGACGAAAAAUUUGGCUACCCUACCUCUCACCACUUUUCUUUCAUGAUUUAAUUUAUUUCCAACAGCAGUGUCUUCAGUGAACGUAAAUAACUGUAGCCAUAUACUUGGUGCUUCUGAUUAAGGACAGUGAACUUGACUGAGAGGAACAGGAAGGGACCACUAGAUUAUGAAUGUUUAGUUGGUCUGCAUCUGCUACAAGGUUUGGCAAAGUGGGGUUUGAAGCUAGAAAUGUGAAAUGCAAUUGGUAAUGGUAUGACCCGUCCUUAAAAGUGGGGAUCCUAAUCCUGUGUCAUCCCACGACAUGCAACAUGUUAUGGUUCCUCGUGCUUCCAUUGUUCUGUUCCUUGCAAAUAAGAAUCCACAACUUUUUAAAAACAAAAAUGAGAAUUCUACUAUUCAUUCAUUCGUUACACAAAAUAUCUUUGAUAAAGUUAUAUAUAUAAUUUUUUUUUAAGUGAUAAAGUAUUCAAUAGUUCAUAUCCCUCCAAGAAUUCAAAACUAAAUGCUUCAUGGGUGUGAAUUAUUUCAAUUUUGUGGUUAUGACACACCAAAAUCAUCUUCUGCCGCGUGGCUCCUCCUCUAGAUCAAAAUCCGACCGUAGGAUGUAACUCCACCGAAGCCAACAAGAUAUAAAUAACGAGGGGAGCAACAGCAAGAGCAAGAGCAUUCACAAGAACAUUUUGUACUAGUUAGAAACAAGAAAAUCCCAGAUGAUUUGAACAGCGAGUGUUACCACCACCAUUCACCGGCCUCAAGUCCACCGCAGCCUUCCCCGUCACCCGCAAGAGCAACGCUGAUUUCAGCUCUCUCCCUAGACCCGGCAGCAGGGACCAGUGCAUGCAAGUGCGGCCGCCCAUUGGCAAGAAAAAAUUCGAGACAUUCUCUAAUAUCCUGAAAUACAAGUUGUGCAACCCAAGAGGGGGUGGAUUGGUAUUUUAAAACUUAUCCUAACAAAACCACAUAAUUAUCCAAUCUAAUACCUUAGUAAAUUCGAAAGCAAUAUGUUUGAUAAAAGCACAAUAAUAAAUGAGUAAGGGAAAAGAAAAACAAACACACGAAUUUUUACGUGGUUCGGCAAUCCCUGUCUACGUCCACGCCUCCAAGCGAUCCAAGCUUGAGGAUUUCACUAUCCAAGCCUUCCAAGGCUUCAAAAGCUUAUAAUUGACUUCUAAGGUGUCAAUGAACCUUUACAAUAAAGAGAUUAUCUCACAAUCUCUUCACUCAAGUGUCUCACACACUUAAACACUCACAAAUUUUAUGAGGAAAUGAAAAUUACAAUAAAAACUAUCUUAAAGAGUAUAGAUACAAAUUGAAGAACAAAAGAUAAUUCAAUAUUUUUUUUUUAUUUGCGAAUAUGAGAGCUCAAUAUAUGUUGUGUGCUUUUUUAAUUUUGCUUUCUAGAGAGCUUGAAAAUGAAUUGGAUUUGAGUUUAUAUAGUUUGAGCUCAAAAACUAGCAGUUAUGCACAUUUUGGUGAUAACUGGCUUAACGUUUAUGGAAUCCGGUUAGCCGCUUUUAUGUUAUUGUUACAGCAAAAAUUUGAAUUUCAGAACAUCCGGUAUGCCGUUUACGAUAUCCGGAUAGCCGUUAAUGUUCCAGAAGCUUACUGUCCAAAAUCCAGUUAGCCGCUUGAUACAGUAACUGCUACAGUGAACUAUUUUUCUAAAAUUAUAGUUUGACCUCAAAACUUUAUAUAACUAUGUUAUGGCCCAAAACGUUAUGAAUCUUUUCAGAUAAGUCUAAUUUCGAAAUUUCUAAGUAAUACCUUGUUAAUCCCAAAACUUUUUGAAAUUGUGAUAUCACCCAAACAAUGUGAAAUUAUAGAAUGACCCAAAAUAUUUUAAUAUUUUCAAAUAGUCCAAAUCCGUUAUGAAAAGCUUCCCCUUAAUCAAUGCAAGGUUUAAAGACUAAUUUAAAAAAGAGUUAUAAAAACUCCCCCUGCAUAAGUGCAUAUGAAUAUUUUUCAUAACAAAUGAAUUUCUCAUAUUUCCCAUUUACAUAUUAUAUCUCCCCCUUCAUCAUAAAAAAGAAUAAAAGCUCCCCUAUCAAUCAUCGAAAUCUCAAUGCAACACAUUAGUCCAAAAAUACCCAAAGCAUAAGGAAAUAACAUAUCAUCCAUGAAAUAACAAACAAUAAAAACAAAUCUAUAUCAUCCAAAACAAAUACAUAAUCCAAAAUCAUAACAACCAUUUAUAUAAGCAAAAAUAAAGGAACAUAAAGUAGUAAAUGAAAUGUAGGUGUGUCUAAAUACAAGCAUAAGAGACUACUGAGGUGGUGAGGAUGGUGGUGAUGGAGGAGGAUACGGAUAUGGAAUGCUGAAAUGCUCAAAGAGGAGGCGCUGUCCAUGAAUGAGCUGCUGCUGAAACUCAGUCUGCCGCACAGAGAGUGUCCUUACCUCAUCCAUAAGCUGUUGAAGAGGAAUCUCGUCAUAAAUAGAAGGCUCGGGAGGUGGUAAAGCAGGUGUAGAGGCAGCAUGAGCAGAGGUAGAAGUUGGAGGAUCUUGACGUCGACGCUGGCCUCGAAACGAAAGUGAGAAAUCAGGAAGUUGAUCACUAGGAUCCACAACGUUGAGUGGUCGAUCAUCACUCGGAGCAAGGAAAGUGUACUUGUUUUCAAUGAACUUGACCCAAGUGCCAUUACUCCGCUCAAAACCUAAGCUAAAUACAACGUCAUCCCCUAUACCCUUAGACGGUCUACACAAUGGUUCAUGAAUCAGUACAUUAAAGUGUUUAAGGAUUCGGGUAAUGAAGUGACCAUACAGAAGGGAGUGGGUAAUCAAGGCAGGUAUGGUCAACAUGGUUUGGAUGAUGGUAUAUCCUAAGUUAACCGGACGACGUCUAAGAAUACAAUCAAUCAAAGCAACGUCCAUGUGGAAAACCUUAUCCAAAUGCCCUGAUCUAGGAAAAAUAAUGGACUGAAUAAAGCGAAGCAAAAUACGAGUUUGAAGACAAAGAUAUUGAGUACGGAAAUGAAUGGUACAAUCUUCAACAAAAAGAUCAUUACGCCGAUAUAUAUUACGAACGGCGUCAACAUGAACAUAACUAUCAAGUUUGGGAGAUUUCCUAGGCGAAAAAAUUUCUAGGCCAAAAUCAGAUGAUCCUACUGCUGUACGGCCAAGGCGGAUGUACGGUACAGCAGCAAUGAACCUUUACAAUAAAGAGAUUAUCUCACAAUCUCUUCACUCAAGUGUCUCACACACUUAAACACUCACAAAUUUUAUGAGGAAAUGAAAAUUACAAUAAAAACUAUCUUAAAGAGUAUAGAUACAAAUUGAAGAACAAAAGAUAAUUCAAUAUUUUUUUUUUAUUUGCGAAUAUGAGAGCUCAAUAUAUGUUGUGUGCUUUUUUAAUUUUGCUUUCUAGAGAGCUUGAAAAUGAAUUGGAUUUGAGUUUAUAUAGUUUGAGCUCAAAAACUAGCAGUUAUGCACAUUUUGGUGAUAACUGGCUUAACGUUUAUGGAAUCCGGUUAGCCGCUUUUAUGUUAUUGUUACAGCAAAAAUUUGAAUUUCAGAACAUCCGGUAUGCCGUUUACGAUAUCCGGAUAGCCGUUAAUGUUCCAGAAGCUUACUGUCCAAAAUCCAGUUAGCCGCUUGAUACAGUAACUGCUACAGUGAACUAUUUUUCUAAAAUUAUAGUUUGACCUCAAAACUUUAUAUAACUAUGUUAUGGCCCAAAACGUUAUGAAUCUUUUCAGAUAAGUCUAAUUUCGAAAUUUCUAAGUAAUACCUUGUUAAUCCCAAAACUUUUUGAAAUUGUGAUAUCACCCAAACAAUGUGAAAUUAUAGAAUGACCCAAAAUAUUUUAAUAUUUUCAAAUAGUCCAAAUCCGAAAUUGAAAACAAUAUUUAUUAAAAUCAAAGAUUGUAAAAUUCUUUCAUUUUAGUCCACAACUUGAAAAACAACUUAACUCCAUAAAACCAUUUUCUUAUUAUAAAAGCACAAUACAUAAAUUUUUGUUCAACCAAAAACAUGUGGUUUGUUAUCAUCAAAAUCAAUAUUUAUAGCUAUAUAGGCUAACAAUCUCUCCUUUUUUUAUGAUGACAAAACACAUUUUAAAAAAUUUAAUUUAGUUAUGAAAAGCUCUCCCUUAAUUAAUGUAAGGUUAAAGACUAAUUUCAAAAAGAUUUAAAAGACUUCCCCUGCAUAAAUGCAUAUGAAUAUUUUUCAUAACAAAUAAAUUUCUCAUAUUUUCCCUUUACAAAUUAUAUCUCCCCCUUCAUCAUAAAAAAGAAUUAAAGCUCCCCCUAUCAAUCAUCAAAAUUUUAAUACAAGCACAUUAGUUCAAAAACAGCCAAAACAUAAGGAAAUAACAUAAUAAUCAAUCAAAGCAAAUCCAUAUCAUCCAAGACAAAUACAUAAUCUAAAAUCAUAACAAUUAUCCAUAUAAUCGAAAUAAAAGUACAUAAAGUAGUAAAUGAAAUGUAGGUGUGUCUAAAUACAAGCAUAAGAGACUACUGAGGUGGUGAGGAUGGUGGUGAUGGAGGAGGAUACGGAUAUGGAAUGCUGAAAUGCUCAAAGAGGAGGCGCUGUCCAUGAAUGAGCUGCUGCUGAAACUCAGUCUGCCGCACAGAGAGUGUCCUUACCUCAUCCAUAAGCUGUUGAAGAGGAAUCUCGUCAUAAAUAGAAGGCUCGGGAGGUGGUAAAGCAGGUGUAGAGGCAGCAUGAGCAGAGGUAGAAGUUGGAGGAUCUUGACGUCGACGCUGGCCUCGAAACGAAAGUGAGAAAUCAGGAAGUUGAUCACUAGGAUCCACAACGUUGAGUGGUCGAUCAUCACUCGGAGCAAGGAAAGUGUACUUGUUUUCAAUGAACUUGACCCAAGUGCCAUUACUCCGCUCAAAACCUAAGCUAAAUACAACGUCAUCCCCUAUACCCUUAGACGGUCUACACAAUGGUUCAUGAAUCAGUACAUUAAAGUGUUUAAGGAUUCGGGUAAUGAAGUGACCAUACAGAAGGGAGUGGGUAAUCAAGGCAGGUAUGGUCAACAUGGUUUGGAUGAUGGUAUAUCCUAAGUUAACCGGACGACGUCUAAGAAUACAAUCAAUCAAAGCAACGUCCAUGUGGAAAACCUUAUCCAAAUGCCCUGAUCUAGGAAAAAUAAUGGACUGAAUAAAGCGAAGCAAAAUACGAGUUUGAAGACAAAGAUAUUGAGUACGGAAAUGAAUGGUACAAUCUUCAACAAAAAGAUCAUUACGCCGAUAUAUAUUACGAACGGCGUCAACAUGAACAUAACUAUCAAGUUUGGGAGAUUUCCUAGGCGAAAAAAUUUCUAGGCCAAAAUCAGAUGAUCCUAGGAUAGAGUUUAACACUAAAACAUCAAAAUCAAUCAUAACUCCUCCAACAUUGGUGAUUAGUCGAGUCUUGUUCUCCUCGGAAACGUCCAUAUUCGAGUAAAACACUUUCACUAAGUCGGGAUAAACAUUCUCCUCAAUCAUAAGUACAUUAAUCCAACCAACAUCUACCAACAAUUGAAAUAAAUUUCUAUGACUAAAAUUGAGAGUAUUAAGUCAAUCUGGUAAAAUAUAAAACGUAUUGAGUACCUCACGAGUCCUAAAACUUUAGUGAAACCGUUUGGUUAAAUGUUUGUUGUUCUGAAAGUGUGUGGACUCAAAGUUGGAUUGAUUGGAGGUGCCCCCUGCUUGCCGUGAUCGUUUGGUGGGUUGAACCGGUUCUUUGCCUUUUCCUCGAACCGGUCGCGAGCUUGACAUGAUGAUUUUGAAUGAUUUGAAGUGAAAUGAGGCAAUGAGAAGGGAGAUGAUGAGGAUUGAAAGAGAUUUUGAGAAGCAAUUUGGAUAAAAAAUGACUUAAAAGGAAGAAAUCUAGAGAGAUAAAAUUUGGUUGAAACCCUAGAUUUGAUUUCGGAUCUAGUGAUUUUGAGGUUGAAAAAGGAUUUGAUUUCGGAUCUAGUGAUUUUGAGGUUGAAAAAGGAUUUGAUUUCGGAUCUAGUGAUUUUGAGGUUGAAAAAGGAUUUGAUUUCGGAUCUAGUGAUUUUGAGGUUGAAAAAGGAUUUGAUUUCGGAUCUAGUGAUUUUGAGGUUGAAAAAGGAUUUGAUUUCGGAUCUAGUGAUUUUGAGGUUGAAAAAGGAUUUGAUUUCGGAUCUAGUGAUUUUGAGGUUGAAAAAGGAUUUUGGGCACAAGAAUGGAUGGGAAAUAAGUUUUAUGGAUCGAUUUGAAUCGAAAACGAGUGGAAGUGGUGGAUUUUGGAGUGAGAGAGAGAGAGGAAGAAACGGCUUGAGAGAGAAGGAGCUAUCCGGUUUACCGAAAGAAAGAAAUGGAAGAUUAACAGUUUAAAAUGCCUUGAGUUCGGCUUGUCGGAUUUCACUAACCGGUUAGCCGGUUAGUGUCCAGUGAGGGGAAAACCGAAUCCGGUAGGGGUGGGCAAAAAAAUCGUGCACUAGAGAAAAUCGAACCGAACCAAUCCAAACCGUUCCGUUUGGACCGAUUUUAAUUUUAAAAAAUAACCGAAAUAUAUGGUUUGUUAAAAAAUCGAAAUGUAGGUUCGGUAUUCGGUUCACUUAGCUAAAGCAAAAAACCGAACCGAAAAAUCGGGUUAUUCUUGGAAUUUUAUUUAAAUAGACACGUGAUAAAUUUUAAUUGGUUGCGUAAGAUAACUAAAAUAGGCAUGCACACACACGAUUACGGAUAGAUAUAUAUUUAAAAAUUGUUGUUGGUGUUUGUUUCCAAAUUUUCUUUUUAUUUUGUGUUGUAAGUUUUAAUUGUUGUUAUUUUUAUUUGUCUUUACAACAUUAUGUUUAUGUAGAUGGAGUAUUGGAGUUUGAUUAUGUAUUUUGAAAUCUUAAUAUUUCAUAUUUUGUAAGUAUCUUAUUAGUAGUUAGUAAGAUAUUAGUGAUAAAAUGUGUUUUGAAUACUUUGUAUUUAUUGCUAAUAUUUGUAAUGAAAUUAAGAUAAAUUAAUUGUUGAAAAAAAUUAUUACAUUCAUGAGGCCUAAUGGGCUAAAAAUUUAGAAAUUUAAAAUAGACCCCAUAAGCCCAAAAUCGAAAAAACCGAACCGAACCGAACCAAUACGAAAAGAUCCGUUUAUGUUCGGUUUUUAUUGAGUUCGUUCUUAUUUGGUUCUUUUUAUAAAAUAACCAAUUUAAAUCGGUUCUGCUUAAUUUCGAUAAGAACCGAACCGGACCGAACCGUGCCCACCCCCAGAAUCUGGUUUACCGGAUGCCACUAACUGGUUAGUCGGUUAGUGUUCAGAAUGAUGAAAGCCGAAACCGGCUUGUCGGUUUCUUUAUCCGGUUGUCCGGAUAGUUUUUAGAAUUUUUCAAAACUUAUUCGGCUUAUCGGUUUAAAGAACCGGUUUUGAGGCAGAAAAGAAGCUUAGCAAAUUCGGCUUUUUGGAUUGGAUAACUGGAUGACCAGUUUGUGUCCAGUAAGCUCCAAAACACAUCCGGCUUUCCCGUUUUUAUAACCGGUUGACCGAUUUUCAUCUAGAAAUAUUUCAAAACUAAUUCAGCUUACUGGUUUGAUAAAUUCGGUUAUCCGAAAUUUGCCCCGAGAGCAAUCAAUGAGAAAACAGUUUUCCGGUUGAGAGGAAGCGGUAUACCGGUUUAGACUUGAAAAUCUUUUUGCCUCUUAUUGAAUUUUGGCAAACUCUUAUACUUGUAUUAUACACACCAUUUUAUUUUUGGCUUAAAAUUUGAUCAAUUUUAAAUCAUUUUGUGAUUUAAAACUUUUCAAUAAGCUAUUCAAUGCAUGAACCAUAAAUGCAUACAAUAACAAACAUAUUAACUUAAUCAACAAAUCAUAAUUCAAGAUGCAACAUUCAUUAUUCCAAACUCAUGUCUUAUUUUUAUAAAGUGCUAUUCACUAAGAGGUUUUGUAAAGAUAUCUGCAAGUUGAUUUUCAGUAGAAAAAAAUUUAAUCAUAACAUCUCCUUUUUUAACAUGAUCUCUAAGGAAGUGAUGCCUAAUUUCUAUAUGCUUAGUCCUAGAAUGUUAAAUCGGAUUCUUGGAUAGAUUAAUAGCACUAAUGUUGUCACACAAGAUAGGUAUUUGAUCAAGAUUAAUACCAUAGUCUCUAAAGGUUUGUUUCAUCCAAAGAAUUUGUGUACAACAACUACCAGCGGCUAUAUAUUCGUCUGCCUCAGUGGCUGAAAGUGCAACCGAAUUUUGUUUCUUACUAAACCAAGAGACGAGUGAAUGACCUAGGAAGUGACAUGUUCCACUAGUACUUUUUCUAUCAACCUUAUAUCUGGCAAAGUCGGCAUCCGAAUAACAAGUUAAGUCAAUAUAAGUUCCCCUAGGAUACCAAAGACCAAGAUUGAUGGUGCCAAUCAAAUAUUGAAAAAUUCGUUAAACAGCAAGCAAGUGUGACUCUUUAGGACAAGAUUGAAAUCUAGCACACAAGCAUACACUAAACAUAAUAUGAGGUCUACUAGCAGUUAAAUAAAGUAAGGAUCCGAUCAUACCUCGAUAUGUCUUGAUAUCAACUUUCUUACCCUUCUCAUCUUUGUCCAGCUUGAUGGUAGUACUCAUUGGAGUGUUUUUUUCCGUUCCAUUAUCAUAGCCAAAUCUUUUGAAUAGAUCUUUCACAUACUUGGCUUGAUUUAUGAAAAUUCCUUCCUCGUUUUGUUUAAUUUGGAGUCCAAGGAAGUACUUCAGCUCUCCCAUCAUACUCAUCUCAAAUUCUUUGCUCAUGCAAUAAGAAAAUUCUUUACACAAUAAUUCAUUAGUAGAACCAAAGAUAAUGUCAUCAACAUAUAUUUGUACUACAAGUAUAUCUUGGUUCUUAUCCUUAACAAAGAUAGUAGUAUCCGUUUUUUCCAUUGAAAAAUCAUUAUCCAAUAGAAAAUUCUUAAGCUUAUCAUACAAUGCUCUAGGUGCUUGUUUUAAUCCAUAUAAUGCCUUAGACAACUUAUACAUAUAAUUUGGAAAUUUUUCAUUUUCAAAAUCAGGAGGUUGUUUUACAUAGACUUCCUCCAUAAUGUAACCAUUUAAGAAAGCACUUUUAACAUCAAUUUGGAAUAAAAUGAAAUUCUUAUGAUAUGCAUAUGCUAACAACAUCCUGAUGGAUUCUAAUCUAGCUAUAGGUGCAAAUGUUUCAUCAAAAUCAAUUCCCUCUUCUUGGUUGUAACCUUGAUCCACUAAUCUAGCUUUAUUUCUUACAACCACACCGGAUUCAUCCAUUUUUUUUCUAAAUACCCAUUCAGUGCCUAUAAUGGAUUGAUGUUUCGGAUUAGGAACUAAUUCUCACACAUUGUUUCUCUCAAAUUGAUUCAUCUCCUCUUGCAUUGGCAUAAUCCAAGAUUUAUCAUUUUCCGCAUCCGCAUAGGAUUUUGGUUCAAUUUGAGAAAUAAAUGCAGCAUGCUCACAUGUGUUCCUAAGAGAUGAUAUAAUUGUAACACCUCGUGAGGGAUCUCUUAAAAUUAUAUCAUUAGGGUGAGAAGAAACAUAUCUCCACUCCUUGGGGAGUAUUUGAGAAUUACCUUCAUUUUGCUCUACAUUUGUUUCUUCAUGAUAUUCCUCUUGAAUUCCAUGUGGUGCAUCUUUUUUGUUGUCAUUUGAUGCUUCUUCUUGUUGUUCUUCUUCUGUAUUAUCAUCAACAACAACUUUCUCCGUAGAAGAGGGGUUAGACUCAUCAAAUGUAACAUGCAUAGAUUCUUCCACAACCAAAGUUCUUUUAUUAUACAUUCUAUAAGCUUUGCUUGAGUUUGAAUAACCAAGAAAAAUACCAACAUCAGAUUUUGGAUCAAAUUUACCAAGAUUAUCUUUUGUGUUCAAAACAAAACAUUUGCAUCCAAAAAUUUUAAAAUAGCCAAUGUUGGGUUUUCUAUCUUUCCAAAGCUCAUAUGGAGUUUUGUUAAGAUUAAGUCUAAUCAACACACGAUUUAAAACAUAACAAGUGGUGUUGACAGCUUCGGCCCAAAAAUACGUAGGUAAGGAAUUUUCAUUCAACAUGGUUCUAACCAUUUCUUGAAUAUACCUAUUCUUUCUCUCUACAACUCCAUUUUGUUGAGGAGUCCUAGGUGAUGAAAAUUGAUGCUCAAUGCCAAAAUCAUUACACAAGUUCUCAAAUGCAUAAUUUUCAAAUUCUCCACCAUGAUCAUUUCUAAUACAAGAAAUACUACAUCCCUUUUCAUUUUGAACCUUUUUGCAGAAAACUUUAAAUGCAUCAAAGGCAUCAUCCUUAUUAGUUAAGAAUAAUAUACAUGUGUAUCUAGAAUAAUCAUCUACAAUUACAAAAGUAUAAUCUUUGCCAUUUAAACUAGCAUAUCUAGAAGUUCCAAAUAAAUCUAUGUGAAGUAAUUGAAGUGGUUUUGAAGUAGAAAUAUUUUUCUUACUUUUGAAAGAAGUUUUGAUUUGUUUUCCAAAUCGGCAAGCUUCACAAAUUCUAUCUUUUUGAAAACUGAUUUUUAGAAGACCUUUAACCAAAUCAUUUUUCACGAUUUUUUAAAUCAAAUCCAUGCUUGCAUGACCUAAUCUUCUAUGCCACAACCAACCAUCAUUAUGCAAUGCGGAGAAACAUUUAUCAUUUGUAGAUGCACAAUCUAUAUUAAUGGUAUAGACAUUAACACAUUUAUUUCCUACAAACAAAACCUUGCCAUCACAUACAUUCCCAAUAACACAUUUUGAUUCAUCAAAGAUAACUCUAUAUCCUUUAUCACAUAAUUGACUAAUGCUAAGCAAAUUGUGUUUUAAGUUUUCAACCAAACACACAUUUUCAAUAAGAAUAGAGGAUACAUUACCGACAUUGCCAAUGCCAAUGAUUUUUCCUUUUGAAUUAUCUCCAAACGAUACAUCUCUACCAUUUUCGAUCUUGGUAAAACUUGAAAACCAAGAAUAAUUCUCUGUCAUGUGUCUUGAACAACCACUGUCCAAGUACCACUUAUUCUUCUUAUUUUUCAAGCCCUGCAGAGAGAAUCUCAAGUCUUAAGUACCCAAACCUUUUUUUGUCCUUGAAUGUUAGCAAUUGUUUCUUUUGGAACCCAAACACAUUUGAUACCAUAAUAUGUAUUUCUUUUUACUAGAUAUCUAUUUUCCAUAUGAUCGCCUUGAUUACAAUAAUGACAUACAACUUGAUUAUUAGUGAAGGUAUUCUUCACAAAAUAACUCUUGUAAUAUUUUUGUUUCAAAUUUGGCUUAUAACCAAUCCUCAUUUGUCAAACACACACUUUUGUGAAUUAAGCAAGUUAUCCAACAUCUUUUGUCCAUUGGUAAAUUUUAGCACAAUUUCAUUUAGAUUAUUGCUCUUCUUUUUAAGAAUUUCAUUUUCAUUUUUCAAGUCAUUCACAUGUGAUUCUAAAUGCUCAUGUGAAGUGCUAGAAUUCUCAAAUAAUGCAACUCUAUCAUGCAAUGUUUUAUUCUCUAAUUCAAGGCAUGUAAUCUUUGCACUAAAUAAUUCAUUUUCAUUUCUAAGCUCUACCAUUUUCUUUUUAAGACAUACAUUCUUUUUACCAAUCUUCAUCCACUUAUCAUGAAAUUAUUUAAAGGCAUCAUGUAAUUCAUCAUAUGUAGGAAGAUCACUUGCCUCAUCAAGUUCAUCACAUGAUUCUUCCCCAAAGGUCAUGAGAGCUAAAUUUUUCAUUUCUUGUUGCUCUUCAUCAUCACUUGUUUCCUCAUCGCUAUCAUCCCACGUGGCCACCAUAGCUUUCUUCUUGAGUUUGUUGAGGAGAGGACAUUUCGAUCGUAUGUGUCUGGGUUUCUUGCAUUCAUAGCAAGUGAUUGGCUCUUUCUUCUCAUUUUUAUUCUUGUAGCCUCUGAACUUUCUCUGCUCAUUAUUCUUCUUGUAAAAUUUUCUGAAUCUUCUAGCCAACAUUGCCAACUUCUCAUCAUCCAUCUCGCUUUCCUCAUCACUCUCACGUUUUGAGGCCUUGAGAACAAUGUUUUUCUUCUUUUCCUCAUGCCAUUUCUCUGCUGCCAAAUCUUCUUCAUAUGAAAUGAGAGAGCCAAUUAAACCAUCAAUAGGUAAGACAUUUAGAUCUUUGGCUUCCUCAAUAGCAGUCAUUUUUGUCUCCAUUCCGUAGGUAGUGACCUAAUGAUUUUCUUAACUUUCUCGCUAUUAGAAAAAGUUUUUCCUAGGGCUCCUAAAGUAUUCACUAUGUCCGUAAAUCUAGUAUACAUAGAAUAUAAACUCUCAUUUUGUUCCAUUUGGAACAAUUCAUAUUGUCGAGUGUACCUACUAAUUUUCAACUCUUUCACUUAAUUCGUGCCUUUAUAAAUAACUUCAAGUUUGUGUCAGAUUUCGUUAGCACUUUCACAACUAGACACUCUAUGAAACUCUUUCUUAUCUAGUGCACAAAAUAAGGUAUUCACAGAUUUUGAAUUUAGAGAAGUUUUUCUCUUUUCCAAUUCAUUCCAUUCCCGUGAAGGUUUCAUAAUAUCUUCCCUGACUUCAUUUUUAAUCAAAGGCAUGAAAGGACCAUCAUUAACGAUUUCUAAAAUUUCAUAAUCUAAAGCUUGCAAGUAAAUUCUCAUUCUAGUUUUCCAAUACGGGUAAUCGUUUCCAUCAAAAUAUGGUGGUCUAGUGGUGGACUGUCCUUCCCUAAAUGUGGAAUCACUUUGAGUUUCCAUUGAUCUUUAGCUCUAGAUAGUUAAGUCUAAAUAAGAGCACCUUACUCUGAUACCAAAGGAAAUACAAGUUGUGCAACCCAAGAAGGAGUGAAUUGGUAUUUUAAAACUUAUCCUAACAAAACCACACAAUUAUCCAAUCUAAUAUCUUAGUAAGUUUGAUAAAAGCAAUAAGUUUGAUAAAAGCACAAUAAUAAAUGAGUAAGGAAAAAGAAAAACAAACACACGAAUUUUUACGUGGUUCGGCAAUCCCUGCCUACGUCCACGCCUCCAAGCGAUCCAAGCUUGAGGAUUUCACUAUCCAAGCCUUCUAAAGCUUCAAAAGCUUACAAUUGACUUAUAAGGUGUCAAUGAACCUUCACAACAAAGAGAUUAUCUCACAAUUUCUUCACUCAAGUGUCUCACACACUUAAACACUCACAAAUUUUAUGAGGAAAUGAAAAUUACAAUAAAAACUCUCUUAAAGAGUAGAUAUACAAAUUGAAGAACAAAAGAUGAUUAAUUUUUUUUUUAUUUGUGAAUAUGAGAGCUCAAUAUAUGUUGUGUCCUUUUUUUAUUUUGCUUUCUAGAGAGCUUGACAAUGAAUUGGAUUUGAGUUUAUAUACUUUGAGCUCAAAAACUAUCUGUUAUACACAUUUUGGUGAUAAUCGGCUUACCGUUUAUGGAAUCUGGUUAGUCGCUUUUAUAUUACCGUUACAGCAAAAAUUUGAAUUUCAAAACAUCUGGUAUGCUGCUUACGAUAUCCGGAUAGUCGUUUAUGUUCCAGAAGCUUACUGCCCAAAAUUCUGUUAGCCGUUUGUCACAACCAGUUAGCCGCUUGCUACAGUAACUGCUACAGUGAACUAUUUUUCUAAAAUUAUAGUUUGACCUCAAAACUUUAUAUAAUUAUAUUACAGCCCAAAAUGUUAUGAAUCUUUUCAGAUAAGUCCAAUUUCAGAAUUUCUAAGUAAUACUUUGUUAAUCCCAAAACUUUCUGAAAUUAUGAUAUCACCCAAACUAUGUGAAAUUAUAGAAUGGCCCAAAAUAUUUUAAUAUUUUCAAAUAGUCCAAAUCUGAAAUUGAAAACAAUAUUUAUUAAAAUCAAAGAUUGUAAAAUUCUUUCAUUUUAGUCCACAACUUGAAAAACAACUUAACUCCAUAAAAUUAUUUUCUUAUUAUAAAAGUACAAUACAUAAAUUUUUAUUCAACAAAAAACAUGUGGUUUGUUAUCAUCAAAAUCAACAUUUAUACCUAUAUAGGCUAACAUGUCCCACCACUUAAUAGAGAACAAUUGGCUAGGAAAGUUGAAUACCUUCUCUGCAUGGGAUGGAUUCGUUGUCUGGAAUUCAAGUGUAUAUAUAUUUAUGUAUGUAUGUAUGUGUAUAUAUAUAUGUGUGUGUGUGCGCGCGCGCAGGACGGAUUCGUGUGUUACGAAAACCAAUGAAAUCUAAUAUUUGUAAAAAUUUCAGCAAGUAAAAAGUCCAGAAGCUAAAUUCCCCAGCCACCAAGAAAUCUUUCUACAGCCACAAAACUACAAAGAAGAUUAAGGAAAGUGACUUUAUAAGGAAGGCCCACCACUAAUAAAUAAAAGCUAAAUUUAACUAAAAAAUUCAAGCCACCAAGUUUGACAAUAAUCUACAGCAAACCAAUUUAAUUUAACUGUUCAAUAGCUUCAAUUUUCCUCAGUUCAACAACUCUUCGAAAAACCCAGUUAAUUAAUGUAGAAGCUUCGAACAAUCCAAUUAAUAAAUGUAGAAGCUGUAAAACAAUAGUUAAUAGACACAAAUACAGAAAGUGAAGAAAUUAUAAAGCCAAGGCGUACUAAUGAAGCAUUGUCCCUAAAGAACUGAUUAUGUCCCUUCUCGGAUAAUUUUCCGGGUGUGUAAAGGAGUUAAAGAUAGUCUGAUCUUCCAGGAUUCAAUGGCGUUCCAGCUGUAUUGGCGCACUCCAAACUACAGUGAUUCUAACAGUUGAUUUAAUUUGAUUUUCCAGGUAAAGUGUGUAGCUUUAAUGAAGAUGGAGAGGAUGAUAAGAAUUUUUUUUUUCUUUGCAUACACAAAUCAGUCACAGCAGUUGGCUUUUUAUAGCCUUGAAUUACAACAGCCAUCUCCUUGAUUUUUGCCACAAAUCAGUGCAUGAACUGAUUUAAAAAUCGAAUAUCAAGCAACUAAGGUGCUAAAACAAAGCCACAACCACUGACAUGUAGAUAUGCUCAACUUGAAUAAUUCAAAUAGUUUAAAACUGAUUUUUCAAUCCAAAGUAAUGAAUAUAUAAGCUUUCAUCAUGUGGCUAGGAAAUGGACCAAGCCCGUGAAGGCUAUAUGUGCAUUUUUAAUUUUUGUAUUUUGAAAUACCUCACAAUUUCCAACAUCGUAUACCGUACGAACCACAAGUCUCUGGGGUACUAUGACGAGCGGUACUGGACAAUGUGGAAGCUGUCGAUGUUCGGAUGCACUGAUGCAAUCCAAGUCUUGAAUGAGCUCGAUGAGGCCAUCAAAGCUUACCCCAAUUCCUUUAUCAGGAUUACUGGAUUCGACAAUGUUCGUCAAGUGCAGUGCAUUAGUUUCAUUGCCUACAAGCCUACUGGUUACUAGAGCUGGCAAAAUUUGACACGACCCGAUUACCCGACACGAACACGACAUAAAUAAAUGGGUAUGGGUCGUCAAAUUUAACACGAUUAUUAAAUGGGUCGGGUCCGGGUCAACACAAUUUUUUUCCGUGUCGGGUUAGGGUUAAAAUUCUUGACCCAUUUACCCGAUCAAUGACCCGAUUAUAUUUUCUAUUUUAAAAUAAUUUACAUAUUCUUAUCAUUAAAACUCAAAUAUUAGAGAUGAUUUUCUUUUUUUUAUUCUUUAAAAUGGUGAAUAUAAACACAAUGUUUUAUUUAUAAAAUUUUAAAUACAUUUAGAGCUUCAAUAGUGUAAAUGUGUAAAAAUUGAUAGACGUGUAUAUUUUAUAAUAUUAUAUAUAUAUAUAUAGUAUGUAAAAUUUGAUGUAACUUUUGUUCAAUAUAUAGAUAUUAAACGGGUUAUUGGGUAACCCGAUUAUUUUUCUGUGUCGGGUUUGGGUCUCAAUAUUUUGACACGAUUAUUAAAUAGGUUGGGUUUGGGUCGACUUAAAUUUGACACGACACAAAGCUGACACGACACGAACACGACCCGAUGACCCGUUUUGCCAGCUCUACUGGUUAUUGAGCUUUGAUCAAUUAAUUUUGAAGGCUUCAUUGAUCAUCGAUCAUUGCAAUUUUUUGACGUGAUUUGUUUGAUCAGUUUGUUGUUUAGUACUAUUUUACGAAGUUUUUGGUUUUUUUCUUUUUUUCUUUUUUUUUUUGGGAUCUCCAAUUUGGAUGGAAAUGGAGAGUAUGAGUAUAAUAUAUUAAUGAUGAUUUGGUCUAUCAAGUUAACUUUAAGAUGCAUUGGUGUUAGUUUACUUUUAUAAAAAAAAAAUCAAUUUGACAUUGUUGUGUAGUUGUUUAUUUAAGGACUUAAUUUAACAUGACAUUAGUAAAUAAAUAUAGUUAAUUGUGUCUACCAAGAAAUAUAAUAUGACUUCAGUAAAAAUCAUCACAUGUCAAGCUAUUAUUUAUUUCAUCAUUUCACUAGUACUAGAUAAUGAUUUAUAUAAUACGAGAGUUGCAUGUAUGUCACAAUAGAUAAUGUUUAAUGAUAGGAAUCAUGUUAAAAAAACAUUCAAAUUGUACUUUUUAUUCAUGGAUUUACUGAAGAUAAGGAACCGAAGUGUUAUUAUCGAUUUUUUCUUUUUUUUUCUUUUUUAUAAUAAGAAUUGAAUAUAUUACUUUGAGACAAAGGCAAAAAGGUAUUAUCAUUGGCGAUUUUGUGCCAACAUCAGGUUUUGCAGUGACUUCUUCUCUUCAACAGAACAAAAUGAAAAAGCAUAAAGAGUAAACAAUUAAUGUGCUUUGAGUUUUGACUAGAGCUCCGUAAUGGUACAUUUAGGCCAACGAUCUUCAACUGUAUUAAAUUUUAAUAUAUCCAGUUGAUUGUACAUUUUAGUGGGAUUUAAUAGAAUUGAAUUUUGACUGAAUUGUACAUAAUUUUUUUAUUUUUUAUUUAAAUAAAUGACUACGGAUUGCUUAUCAACCAUAAAUAUGUUUAUCAACCUUAGGGUCUUUAAUAUCUAUCUCCAAUGUUAUAAAAAUAAAAAAAUUACGUGACAGACUCACUGUAGAAUAAAUAGAGUACUAAACUCUAAUUAUUCAAAGAAGAAAUCUAAAGAAUAAAACACUUAUGAAACACUCUUUAAAUAAUUAUCAAACUAAGACACAAAAGGCUAAUUGCCUUAUUUAUUUUUAUUUCUUCGGAUGAUUAAUACAAACACAAGCAGGGGGUAUUUAUAGCUUUACAAAUGCAUUUCAGGCCACGCAUUAAAAAAAAAUACCAUUGUCUUACACAUGGCUUUCCAUUGUCUUCCACUUAUAUUAAAAAAGCUAUAUUAUUUUCACACCAUGAUUUCCACUCUCAUUAAACAAAUUCUAUGCUUCACAAGUUAGCACCACAAUCUAACUUAGAAGCUUCUCAAGGGCUGGGCUUGAAUUUGUGAAGCCGAGAGUUAGUUACAUUCUGUUACUGGUGAGGUGGCAGUGAGUCAGCUUAUGUGGGCCAGCUGGUGGUUAAUUAGUUAUGACCAAAGAGCUGUAUAAAUAAGCAGAGCCAGGGCUGAUCAUUGCAGAUCUUUUUUCGGCUAAAUUGAGUGACCAAGACUGAGAGUAAAGAUUCUUAGUUGAGUGAGAUUUGUUCUCUGACAUUUGUAGUCACAUUGUAAUCAACCUUUAGCAAUAAAGUUUCACACCCUUUGGGGUUUCUUCAGCCGUGGAUGUAGGUACUCUGGUACCGAACCACGUUAAUUCCUUCUCUUUGUUUUCUAUUUGUUUAUAGUUUAUACACUGAUCUUUGUUGGUCUUUGUGAAUCUUGGCUGUUAGUUAGAGGGCCGAUAUCUUCCUUUUCUUAACAAAUUGGUAUCAGAGCUACAAAGCUCUCUGUUCUUGAUCUUCAAAGAUGGGAACCACCAAAUUUGACCUUGAGAAAUUCAAUGGAGAGAAUGACUUCUACCUAUGGAGUCUUAAGAUGAGGGCCAUCUUGAUUCAACAGGUCUUAGACAGUGCCCUUGAUGGUGAGGAAGAAAAGUCCAAGAAAGAGAGAGAGGAAGGUUCUUCAAGUUCAGGUGGAGACUUGAGGACCAUGAACAAUAAAGCCCACAGUACGAUCAUCCUUCACCUGUCUGAUGAGGUACUGAGAGAAGUAGCAAAAGAGAAGUCAGCAUCUGGGUUAUGGGCAAAAUUAGAAGAGCUUUUCUUGAAGAAAUCUAUGGCUAAGAGGUUGUACAUGAAAAUGAAGCUUUACACAUUUUCAAUGAAAGAAGGAACAUCUAUGAGAGACCAUGUUGAUGAGUUCAACAAGCUCAUACUCGAUCUUGAAAAUGUUAAUGUAAUGCUUGAAGAUGAAGAUAGGGCUCUCAUCUUACUAAGCUCCUUACCAGAUUCUUAUGAACACUUCGUGGACACUCUGCUCUAUGGUAGGCAAACCCUCACCCUAAAAGAUGUCAAGAAUGCUCUUGAAUCUAAAGACUUGAAGAAAAGAGCAGAUGGCAAAGAUCAAAUCACUAGAGAUGGAUUAGUUGCCAAAGCAAAGACAGAAAAGAAGAUAUACAAAGACAAGAAGAACAAAAAUCAGAAAGAGAAGACUGAUAAGAUGAAGAAGAAAAGAAAAUGUUACUUCUGUCAGAAGGAAGGACAUUAUAUAAAAGACUGCUUUGAAAAGAAGAAGCUUGAAAAGUUACAGAAAGAAUCAAGUGGGAAGGCUGACAUUGCAUCUGUAGAUGAAGGAGAGUCAGAAGAUGCAGAUGUCCUUAUUGCAGCAGAUAAGAAAUCUUCUGGUGAGUGGAUACUUGACUCAGGAUGUUCCUUCCAUAUGUGUCCACAUAAAGAUUUCUUUGUGACUUUCGAGAGUAUUGAUGGUGGAAAAGUUUUGCUUGGAAAUAAUCUAGCCUGUAAAGUUGCUGGAAUAGGGUCUGUUAGGAUUAAAAUGUAUGAUGGUUCAGUAAAAGGCUUGGAACAAGUGAGAUAUGUUCCAGAGCUUAAAAGAAACCUCAUAUCAUUAGGGAUGAUAGACAAAUUAGGCUGCUGCAUAAAGGCAGAAAAUGGUGAACUUCAGAUCCUUAAAGAUGGUGCAAUCAUAAUGAAAGGUUGUAGAAGAAAUGGAUUAUAUGUGCUUAAAGGCUCAGUUGAGUUACCUGGUAUUAUUGCAAAUGUAAACAGUGAUAAAACCAGGCUCUGGCACAUGAGAUUAGCACACAUGAGUGAGAAAGGUUUAAAGGAGUUAAGUAAACAAGGUCUACUAGGAACUGAUCAAAUUUCUGCACUUGAAUUCUGUGAAAAGUGUGUAUUUGGUAAAGCAACUAGGCAGAAGUUUAAUCCAGGAAAACAAGAGACAAAAAACACACUGGAUUAUAUUCACUCAGACCUAUGGGGGCCCUCUCAAGUGCCCUCUCAUGGAGGAGCUAGAUAUUUCAUCACUUUCAUUGAUGACUUUUCAAGGAAAGUCUGGGUAUAUGUACUGAAGCAUAAGAAAGAGAGAGAGGAAGGUUCUUCAAGUUCAGGUGAAGACUUGAGGACCAUAAACAAUAAAGCCCACAGUACGAUCAUCCUUCACCUGUCUGAUGAGGUACUGAGAGAAGUAGCAAAAGAGAAGUCAGCAUCUGGGUUAUGGGCAAAAUUAGAAGAGCUUUUCUUGAAGAAAUCUCUGGCUAAGAGGUUGUACAUGAAAAUGAAGCUUUACACAUUUUCAAUGAAAGAAGGAACAUCUAUGAGAGACCAUGUUGAUGAGUUCAACAAGCUCAUACUCGAUCUUGAAAAUGUUAAUGUAAUGCUUGAAGAUGAAGAUAGGGCUCUCAUCUUACUAAGCUCCUUACCAGAUUCUUAUGAACACUUCGUGGACACUCUGCUCUAUGGUAGGCAAACCCUCACCCUAAAAGAUGUCAAGAAUGCUCUUGAAUCUAAAGACUUGAAGAAAAGAGCAGAUGGCAAAGAUCAGAUCACUGGAGAUGGAUUAGUUGCCAAAGCAAAGACAGAAAAGAAGAUAUACAAAGACAAGAAGAACAAAAAUCAGAAAGAGAAGACUGAUAAGAUGAAGAAGAAAAGAAAAUGUUACUUCUGUCAGAAGGAAGGACAUUAUAUAAAAGACUGCUUUGAAAAGAAGAAGCUUGAAAAGUUACAGAAAGAAUCAAGUGGGAAGGCUGACAUUGCAUCUGUAGAUGAAGGAGAGUCAGAAGAUGCAGAUGUCCUUAUUGCAGCAGAUAAGAAAUCUUCUGGUGAGUGGAUACUUGACUCAGGAUGUUCCUUCCAUAUGUGUCCACAUAAAGAUUUCUUUGUGACUUUNNNNNNNNNNNNNNNNNNNNNNNNNNNNNNNNNNNNNNNNNNNNNNNNNNNNNNNNNNNNNNNNNNNNNNNNNNNNNNNNNNNNNNNNNNNNNNNNNNNNNNNNNNNNNNNNNNNNNNNNNNNNNNNNNNNNNNNNNNNNNNNNNNNNNNNNNNNNNNNNNNNNNNNNNNNNNNNNNNNNNNNNNNNNNNNNNNNNNNNNNNNNNNNNNNNNNNNNNNNNNNNNNNNNNNNNNNNNNNNNNNNNNNNNNNNNNNNNNNNNNNNNNNNNNNNNNNNNNNNNNNNNNNNNNNNNNNNNNNNNNNNNNNNNNNNNNNNNNNNNNNNNNNNNNNNNNNNNNNNNNNNNNNNNNNNNNNNNNNNNNNNNNNNNNNNNNNNNNNNNNNNNNNNNNNNNNNNNNNNNNNNNNNNNNNNNNNNNNNNNNNNNNNNNNNNNNNNNNNNNNNNNNNNNNNNNNNNNNNNNNNNNNNNNNNNNNNNNNNNNNNNNNNNNNNNNNNNNNNNNNNNNNNNNNNNNNNNNNNNNNNNNNNNNNNNNNNNNNNNNNNNNNNNNNNNNNNNNNNNNNNNNNNNNNNNNNNNNNNNNNNNNNNNNNNNNNNNNNNNNNNNNNNNNNNNNNNNNNNNNNNNNNNNNNNNNNNNNNNNNNNNNNNNNNNNNNNNNNNNNNNNNNNNNNNNNNNNNNNNNNNNNNNNNNNNNNNNNNNNNNNNNNNNNNNNNNNNNNNNNNNNNNNNNNNNNNNNNNNNNNNNNNNNNNNNNNNNNNNNNNNNNNNNNNNNNNNNNNNNNNNNNNNNNNNNNNNNNNNNNNNNNNNNNNNNNNNNNNNNNNNNNNNNNNNNNNNNNNNNNNNNNNNNNNNNNNNNNNNNNNNNNNNNNNNNNNNNNNNNNNNNNNNNNNNNNNNNNNNNNNNNNNNNNNNNNNNNNNNNNNNNNNNNNUGCAGCCUACUUAGUCAACAGGAGCCCUUCAGUUGCUUUGCAUUUCAAGACCCCUUAAGAAGUUUGGUCAGGAAAGCCUCCAGAUCUCAGCAACCUCAGGGCAUUUGGUUGUCUUGCUUAUGCUCACAUAAACCAGGGAAAAUUAGAGCCAAAAGCUGUCAAGGGUUACUUCAUAGGCUAUCCAGAGGGUGUCAAAGGGUAUAAGAUCUGGUGCAUAGAUGGAAAACCUUCAAGAACAUUGAUCAGCCGAGAUGUUGUGUUUGAUGAAGAGCCUAUGCUGCAUCAGAAGGUAGAAACAGAGCUCACUACACCUGAUACAAAUGAGGUUAAGGAACACAACUUUAAGGUGGAGUCAAGUGAAGAAAAGAAAACUAUAGAAAGGGUUUCCAAGCCUUGUCAGAAAAUACACAUCACUUCUCAAAUGAAUGAAUAUCAGCUAACAAGAGACAGGGAAAAGAGAGUCAUUAAACCACCCAAAAGAUAUGGCAUAGCUGAUAUGAUUUCUUAUGCCCUGGCAGUAGCUGAAGAAGUCAUUGGUGAAGAGCCUGUUAGCUACAAACAAGCUAUGGGCAGUAAAAUUAGAGAGAAAUGGCUGGAUGCCAUGAAUGAAGAAAUUAUCUCCCUAAAGAAGAAUAGAACAUGGAUAUUGGUCAAGAAACCUCAAAACAAAAGGCUGGUAGGUUGCAAAUGGAUCUAUAAAAUUAAAGAAGGGACUGUGGAUGGUGAGCCUCCCAGGUAUAAGGCAAGGCUGGUAGCAAAGGGGUUCACCCAAAAGCAUGGAGUGGAUUUCAAUGAGGUAUUCUCCCAUGUAGUAAAAUACAGUUCCAUAAGAAUUCUACUGGCAAUAGCAGCUUACAAUGACCUGGAAUUGGAUCAAAUGGAUGUGAAGACAACCUUCUUACAUGGGAAUCUUGAAGAAGAAAUUCUCAUGGAUCAGCCUGAGGGAUUUAUUGAAGAAGGGACUGAAGAUAUGGUAUGCUUGUUGAAAAGGAGUUUGUAUGGGCUGAAACAGUCUCCAAGAAAAUGGUAUCUGAGGUUUGAUGAGUUCAUGAUCAGCCAUGGAUAUUGUAGAAGUCAAUAUGAUAGCUGUGUGUAUUUUAAAAUCUUAUCCUCUGAAAAUAGAAUUUACCUUCUUCUUUAUGUUGAUGACAUGCUUAUUGCAUGCAAAAAAAGAGAGGAGAUUGAAAGGCUUAAAAUGGAGUUAAAUACUGCUUUUGAAAUGAAAGAUCUGGGGACUGCUACAAGAAUUCUGGGAAUGCAAAUAGUGAGGAACAGAAGUAAAGGCACCUUGUUUCUAACUCAAGCUAUGUAUGCUAAAAGGGUUCUUAGCAGGUUUGAGAUGAGUGGUGCUAAGCCUGUGACAGUACCUAUGUCAGCACAUUUCAGAUUGUCAAAACUUCAGGAACCAGAAGAGGAUCAUGACCUUGUGCAUAUGAAGUCAGUGCCUUACUCAAGUGCUGUUGGCAGCAUAAUGUAUUCUAUGGUUUGUACAAGACCUGAUGUAGCUCAUAGUGUAGGUGUUGUUAGCAGGUUUAUGGGGAACCCAGGGANNNNNNNNNNNNNNNNNNNNNNNNNNNNNNNNNNNNNNNNNNNNNNNNNNNNNNNNNNNNNNNNNNNNNNNNNNNNNNNNNNNNNNNNNNNNNNNNNNNNNNNNNNNNNNNNNNNNNNNNNNNNNNNNNNNNNNNNNNNUGCAGCCUACUUAGUCAACAGGAGCCCUUCAGUUGCUUUGCAUUUCAAGACCCCUUAAGAAGUUUGGUCAGGAAAGCCUCCAGAUCUCAGCAACCUCAGGGCAUUUGGUUGUCUUGCUUAUGCUCACAUAAACCAGGGAAAAUUAGAGCCAAAAGCUGUCAAGGGUUACUUCAUAGGCUAUCCAGAGGGUGUCAAAGGGUAUAAGAUCUGGUGCAUAGAUGGAAAACCUUCAAGAACAUUGAUCAGCCGAGAUGUUGUGUUUGAUGAAGAGCCUAUGCUGCAUCAGAAGGUAGAAACAGAGCUCACUACACCUGAUACAAAUGAGGUUAAGGAACACAACUUUAAGGUGGAGUCAAGUGAAGAAAAGAAAACUAUAGAAAGGGUUUCCAAGCCUUGUCAGAAAAUACACAUCACUUCUCAAAUGAAUGAAUAUCAGCUAACAAGAGACAGGGAAAAGAGAAUCAUUAAACCACCCAAAAGAUAUGGCAUAGCUGAUAUGAUUUCUUAUGCCCUGGCAGUAGCUGAAGAAGUCAUUGGUGAAGAGCCUGUUAGCUACAAACAAGCUAUGGGCAGUAAAAUUAGAGAGAAAUGGCUGGAUGCCAUGAAUGAAGAAAUUAUCUCCCUAAAGAAGAAUAGAACAUGGAUAUUGGUCAAGAAACCUCAAAACAAAAGGCUGGUAGGUUGCAAAUGGAUCUAUAAAAUUAAAAAAGGGACUAUGGAUGGUGAGCCUCCCAGGUAUAAGGCAAGGCUGGUAGCAAAGGGGUUCACCCAAAAGCAUGGAGUGGAUUUCAAUGAGGUAUUCUCCCAUGUAGUAAAAUACAGUUCCAUAAGAAUUCUACUGGCAAUAGCAGCUUACAAUGACCUGGAAUUGGAUCAAAUGGAUGUGAAGACAACCUUCUUACAUGGGAAUCUUGAAGAAGAAAUUCUCAUGGAUCAGCCUGAGGGAUUUAUUGAAGAAGGGACUGAAGAUAUGGUAUGCUUGUUGAAAAGGAGUUUGUAUGGGCUGAAACAGUCUCCAAGAAAAUGGUAUCUGAGGUUUGAUGAGUUCAUGAUCAGCCAUGGAUAUUGUAGAAGUCAAUAUGAUAGCUGUGUGUAUUUUAAAAUCUUAUCCUCUGAAAAUAGAAUUUACCUUCUUCUUUAUGUUGAUGACAUGCUUAUUGCAUGCAAAAAAAGAGAGGAGAUUGAAAGGCUUAAAAUGGAGUUGAAUACUGCUUUUGAAAUGAAAGAUCUGGGGACUGCUACAAGAAUUAUGGGAAUGCAAAUAGUGAGGAACAGAAGUAAAGGCACCUUGUUUUUAACUCAAGCUAUGUAUGUUAAAAGGGUUCUUAGCAGGUUUGAGAUGAGUGGUGCUAAGCCUGUGACAGUACCUAUGUCAGCACAUUUCAGAUUGUCAAAGCUUCAGGAACCAGAAGAGGAUCAUGACCUUGAGCAUAUGAAGUCAGUGCCUUACUCAAGUGCUGUUGGCAGCGUAAUGUAUUCUAUGGUUUGUACAAGACCUGAUGUAGCUCAUAGUGUAGGUGUUGUUAGCAGGUUUAUGGGGAACCCAGGGAGGGAACACUGGAGUGCUGUCAAAUGGUUGUUGAGGUAUAUGAAAGGUACUGCAAAUCAUGGAAUUUUGUAUGGUGGUUCUGAAAGUAACUCAUGUCAGGUAUCAGGGUUUGUAGACUCAGAUUUUGCUGCUGAUCUGGACAAGAGAAGGUCCAUUACUGGAUAUGUUUUCAUUUUGAAUGGAGGAGCAGUGAGCUGGAAGGCAUCUCUUCAGUCAGUGGUUGCUUUAUCCACAACUGAAGCUGAGUACAUUGCAUUGACAGAAGCAGUGAAAGAAGCAAAGUGGCUAAGUGGGUUAGUUUCUGAGUUUGGGUUAAAGCAGGAGUCAGUUUGUAUUGGUUGUGACAGCUCUAGUGCAAUUCAGCUUAGUAAGAAAUAAAAAGUAUUUAUUUAAUUUAAAAAAACUUCUGCUGUACCGUACAUCCGCCUUGGCCGUACAGCAGCUGUGACAGCUCUAGUGCAAUUCAGCUUAGUAAGAAUCCUAAAUAUCAUGAAAGAACAAAACAUAUUGAUGUUAGGUUACACUUUGUCAGGGAUGAAAUUGCAAAUGGUAUUGUGAAUGUUAUUAAGGUUUCUACUCAGACUAAUCCUGCACAUAUUCUAACCAAAGCAGUACCUGCAAUCAAGUUUAGAAACUCUCUGAACUUGGUUGGUGUUGGUAGCUUGUAAAACCAGACUUGUGGUUGCUGAAGAAGAAGGUGGAGUUGUUUCAGAAUGAACUAAGGUGGAGAUUUGUGAAGCCGAGAGUUAGUUACAUUCUGUUACUGGUGAGGUGGCAGUGAGUCAGCUUAUGUGGGCCAGCUGGUGGUUAAUUAGUUAUGACCAAAGAGCUGUAUAAGUAAGCAGAGCCAGGGCUGAUCAUUGCAGAUCUUUUUCGGCUAAAUUGAGUGACCAAGACUGAGAGUAAAGAUUCUUAGUUGAGUGAGAUUUGUUCUCUGACAUUUGUAGUCACAUUGUAAUCAACCUUUAGCAAUAAAGUUUCACACCCUUUGGGGUUUCUUCAGCCGUGGAUGUAGGUACUCUGGUACCGAACCACGUUAAUUCCUUCUCUUUGUUUUCUAUUUGUUUAUAGUUUAUACACUGAUCUUUGUUGGUCUUUGUGAAUCUUGGCUGUUAGUUAAAGGGCCGAUAUCUUCCUUUUCUUAACAGAAUUCAUGAUAAUGGGCUGGUGUUGUGUUAUUUCAACACUCCCCCUCAACACCAGCUCCCGCUCUUUGGACUAUCCCGAGUUGGCAACGAAACAUUUCGAACUUACCAGUGCUUAAACCUUUUGUGAACAAGUCAGCGAUUUGAUCAUCUGUCUUGACUUGCCUCGUAUCAAUCUCUCCUUGCAGAACCUUUUCUCUAAUAAAAUGAUAGUGCACUUUAACAUGCUUAGUUCUUGCAUAAAAGACCAGAUUCUCCACCAAACGAAUUGCCAAUUGAUUGUCACAAUAUAACGGAAUCACAUAAUCUACUAGUUGAUAUAGAUCAUUCAUCAGUUGUAUCAGCCAUGUACUCUCUUGAGCUUCCAUUACUGCUGCUCGGUACUCAGCUUUAGUGGUUGACAAUGAUAUCGUCGGUUGUCUUUUGCUACACCAAGAAAUUGUUCUAAAAUCAAGCUUAAACACAUACCUAGUUGUUGAUCUCCUGGUGUCAUGAUCUCCUGCAUAGUCAGCAUCACAAUAGCCAACUAGUAUGCAAUCUUCACCUUUCUUGUACAAAAGACCGUAGUUCAUUGUACCAUUGACAUAUCUCAAUAUUUGCCGAACUGCUUCCAAAUGUGUCUUCUUUGGAUUUUGCAUGUACCGACUCAUUACUCCAACUGCAUAAGAAAUGUCAGGUCGAGUCAAGGUCAAGUAGAUAAGACUAUCUACCAAUUGUCGAUAUAUCGUUGCAUCUUCCAAGUCUUUUCCUUCAUGCGCACAUUUUGUCAUUUGGUUCCAUCGGUGUUGAGAUCGGCUUGCACUCGAGCAUCCCAAACUUCUUCAACAAAUCUCUCGAAUAUUAUUGCUGACAGAGAAAUAUUCCUUCUUGUGUGCGAUCAACCUUUAGACCAAGGAAGUGCUUAAGUUGUCCAAGUUCUUUCAUCUGGAAGCGAACUAACAAAUUCUCUUUUGUUCGAUGAAUUUCUACCUCAUCAUCACUGGUUAUGAUUAAAUCAUCCACGUACACUAGUACAAUAGCUAGCUUUCUUCCAUUAGCUUUAAAAAACAGGCUAGAAUCUGCAGGUGUUACUGAAUAACUACUUUCAGUUAGGAAUUCAGCAAUCUUACUAUACCACGCCUUGGGUGCUUGUUUCAAUCCAUAGAGUGCUUUCCGCAGCUUGCAUAUGUACUCGGGAUGAUUUUGAUUCUGAAAACUCAUUGGCUGAAUCAUGUAGAUCUCUCGAUCUAGCUCUCUAUGGAGAAAAGCAUUAUUCACAUCCAUCUGCCAUAAGUUCCAGUCUUUAUUGGCUGCUAGCGCAAGUAGAACUCGUACAGUUGUAAGUUUUGCCACCGGACUAAAUGUUUCAUCAUAGUCUAGUCCAUACUGCUGAGAAAAGCCACGGGCUACCAAAUGAGCUUUAUACCUAUCGAUUGACCCAUCUGGACGGCGUUUUAUCUUGUAAACCCACUUGCAGGAUAUGGGUUUUACAUCUCUUGGCUUUGGCACCAGAUCCCAAGUCUGAUUUUGUUCAAGUGCAGUGAUCUCUUCUUUCAUAGUUGUCAUCCACUCAGAAUUAUGUGAUACUGAUUCGAACGUGUCAGGUUCUAGUAUAGUUGCUUCUUCUUCAACUAUCAUCAACAUCACCAUUAGCUUCAUCAAGACUGGACUGGAUUUGGACAGUGUGCUCCCCCAGCUUUUCUUGCAGCUUGUCUUCAAAUUCUUUAGAGUCUGGCAACACUUGCUUUUCUAAGGACCACCAUAAAGAUGCUUCAUCGAACACCACAUCUCGUGAAGUGUAGCACCUUCCACUUGUUGGAUCGCAACAUUUCCAUCCAUUUCUUUGUUAUCGUAUCCCACAAAGAUAUAUAUGACUACUUUCUUAUCAAACUUGCUACGUAAAUGAUUAGGAACAAAUACAUAGCACACACAGCCAAAUACUCGAAAGUAACUAACCGUAGGUUUCAUGUUCCAUAAUUUCUCAAAAAGUGAAACAAAUGCUAACCUCGAUUGAGAAAAUCUGUUGACCACAAAGGCAGCAGCCCUCAUUGCUUCAGCCUAAAAUCUCCCAAGUACAUUAUUUGCAUGUAGCAUACUUCCAACAAACUUCUGCAAGAUGCCGAUUCUUCAACAAACUUCUACAAGAUGCCGAUUCUUUCUCUCAACUACACCAUUUUGUUGUGGUGUAUUGACACAAGUGUAUUGAUGACAUAUUUGGCAUUUCUUGAGGUAUUCAGAGAACUCACUUGAACUAUAUUCUCAUCCAUUGUCCAAGCGCAAACAUCGAAACUUCUUUCCCACUUUUCUUUCAACUGAUUCUCUGAACACUUUAAACUUUGAGAACGUGUCAGAUUUUUCUUUCAUAAAGAAAACCCACACAUACCUGGAGAAGUCAUCAAUGAAUGUCACCAUGUACCGCAUACCGCUAAUUGAUGGUUGCUUAACUGGCCCGAAUACAUCAGAGUGAACUAACUCUAAUGGUUCUUUUGCUCUAAACGUCGAUCCAUCAUAUGGCAAUUGGUGUGCUUUACCAUAUUGGCACCCCGCACAGAUCGUGUCUGUUCGCACAUCAAGUUGAGGAAGCCCCUUUAAGCAUCGACUUCUUCGCCAUCACAUUUAGCUUGGAGUAGCUAACAUGACCUAACCGCAUGUGCCAUAGAUCUGUUGUCUCAUUUUUCUUUGUCUUUUCUACAUAUGCAGACUCUGCUGACAUCACGUAGACUGACUUCAAUUGUCGCCCCUCCAUUGUUGGAUUUUUAGAGAUUUUGAGAUCAUGAUACACCUUCACAUCUCGGGGACCGAACAAGACAUAAUGGCCUAAUGAUGUUAGUUGAGCCACAGAUAACAAAUUUUUCUUCAUUCUUGGGACAUGAUAAAUAUCUUAAAAUGGCACAUGGUUAGAAUUAUAUCGAGGUAUGAGUAUUGCCUUACCGAUGUGUACUAUUGGUAGCCUUGAGUAGUCAGUUGUCACCACAACACAACCUCCUUUGUACUCAGUCAAGUUUUGCAACUUCUGUUUAUCACCCGUCAUAUGAUUUGAGCAACCCGAAUCUACAAUCCAAUCAUUCUCAUAGUUAAUUUGUUCUGAUGUUGUUACCAUGAGAGCUAAUUCUUCUUCCUCUAUAGCGAAUACUACUUCGGCAUCCCAACCAUCUUUGGUAUUCUCCUUAGGAUUGGAAGUAGCAACAUUACUCUCAGCAGGCUUUUUCUUGGACCAACAAUCUUUCGCCAUAUGGCCUAUCUUCCCGCAGUUGUAACACUUACCAUCAAACUUUCUCGUAUUACCAUGAUUCUUUGAAGCUCCCCAUGGAUGAGAGCCUCCAUUUCCAUGGUGAUUUGUUACCUUGUCACCAUCCUUUUUGGAUCCCUUACCAGUAUGCUGCUUAGAAGUGCCCUUGCUUUUGUUGGUAUAGAGUGCUUCCUCUUCACCCUUUAGUGAGACUCCUACUAUUCGCUUGGCUAUAGCUUCUUGACCAGGCAAGUAAAAUUUCAAAAUCAACAAGUGAUGGUUGUGUCGGCCAUCUCUGUACAUCGGCAACAAACCCUCGGUAUUCGAGUCUCAAACCAUGGACAAUUAUUCUUUUUUUCUCGCAUCCCCAAAAGUAACUGUUGGAUCUAACUUUGAAAUUUCGUGGCAUAUCGACUUUACUUUUAUUAAAGUACUGAGCAAUCGUCAUGUCACGUUGUGCUAUUGAUCGCAGCUCGUUCUCGAGAAGUUGCAACCUUGUAUCAUUCUUCUUUGAAAAUAGUGUAACAAAAGUGUCCCAUGCUUCCUUCAGUGUUUUGGCAUCCUGAAUGUGCUCCAUCAUUUCUUCUUCAAUUAUGGCCUUUAAAGAAAACAUUGCUUUGCCUGCUUUAAUCUUCCACUUCCGCAAAAUGCCAUUGGCAUCUUCCAUUAUUGGUUGUGUAGCUUUACUACCACCAACAACCUCCCAAAAGUCUUGACCUUGUAGGUAGGACUCUAUACACGUUGACCAUGUGUUGUAGUUUUGGUUGUUGAGUUUCUUGAUACCUCCAACUACUUGAAUAUCACCCAUCGUGUCAACAAGAUUUUGACUAUACUGCUAACGACUCAAGAUAGGUCCACCAAGAACGAUCUGAGACCGUCCCGUUCUGAUACCAAUUGUAGAAUAAAUAGAGUACUAAACUCUAAUUAUUCAAAGAAGAAAUCUAAAGAAUAAAACACUGAUGAAACACUCUUUAAAUAAUUAUCAAACUAAGACACAAAAGGCUAAUUGCUUUAUUUGUUUUUAUUUCUUUGGAUGAUUAAUACAAACACAAGCAGGGGGUAUUUAUAGCUUUACAAAUGCAUUUCAGACCACACAUUAAAAAAAGGGAAAAUAUCCACCGUCCACCUAUUUUUUACACCUUUUUCAAAAAUACACAAUUCCUUCAUUUUUUGGCUGGAAUCCACCUAAAGUUACAUUUUUUUUCUACUGUUAUAAUUUAGCAUUCUAAUUACCGACAUAUUUUAAAAAAAAACAUGUAUUUGAUGGUUGUGGAAUUAAUUUCUUUACUGACCGAUGGAAAAAUUAUUAGAUUUAAUCUGAUUAUUUUUUAUAAUUUUUAAGGUGAAAUUGUAAUUUUCGUUUUGGGGGUAAAAUGGUCAUUUUUUUAAAUUUCCGUUAGUUUUCUUAACGGAUUCCAAACGGAAGUGGAAAAGUGAAAAAAAAUGAAACUUUAGGUGGAUUCCAGCCAAAAAAUGAAGGAAUUGUGAAUUUUUGAAAAAUGUGUAAAAAACAGGUGGACGGUGGAUAUUUUCCCUUAAAAAAAAUACCAUUGUCUUACACAUAGCUUUCCAUUAUCUUCCGCUUGUAUUAAAAAAUCUAUAUUAUUUUCACACCAUGAUUUCCACUCUCAUUAAACAAAUUCUAUGCUUCACACGUUAGCACCACAAUCUAACUUGGAAGCUUCUCAAGGGCUGGGCUUGAAUUCAUGAUAACGGCCUGGUGUUGUGUUAUUUCAACACUCACGUAACCAUGUCCUUUACUAAAAUGAUUAAUUACAAAGAUAUCAACUUACUAUCUUAACCGAUCUAAUUUAUGUGUCAUUGUUUAAUUAAUAUCGUCUAAUUAUCAUAUUAAUAAUAAUAUACUCUCUAAUAACAAAUUUAUCAAUAAGUGGACAAUUACGUAUAAAACACUCAAGUUAAGAAUCUCUUUGAUGAAAAUCACAAUAUACGGUGGAGGGAUGCUAGAGACUAUGGUCACUUUUACGGUUGUUGGAAGCAAUAAUGGAUUACGGGCUUCAUAAUUCUGUUUGUCAGUUUUCGGGCAAAGCAAAUUGACGACAGGUCGUCUACCCUGUUGAAACUCAAAUAAUGGCUUACCAAUUUCAAAAAGCAAAAAUCAGUGCCAUGUUUUUGUUAACAUAUGCAUGGAGAAAAAUGUGGCGAUUUUCUAGAUGCUGGUUGAAUUUGAGAAAAUUGUUGAUUUUGGUUGCCAUUUUUCAAAGACUUUUGGGCACAAGGAUUAAAAGCAUGCAUGAUCUUUGGCUAUAAAUACUAAGCCAUUUGAUCAUUUGAACGUGUCCACACUUUAAGAGCAAUUACAAGUGAAGUAAUUUGAGAGAUUUGAGAGAACUUCUACUUGAGUAUUCUAUUGAGAAUCCAAUUGAGUGCAUUGGGAUUUUGGGUUUUAAGAUUUUUUUUUAAUUUUGUAAAUUCCUAUUUAUUAGUGAAAUUACCUUACAGUUUUUGCCCAUGAACGUAGGCUUUACACUAAACCACGUAAAUUAUUGUGUUUAAAUUUUUCUUUGUAUUUUUUUAUCAACACAUUUAUAUUUAUCCAGAAGUCGCGGUCACUAUAAUAUUGAUAAUUGUUCAACCCGCAUUUCCACAACAUAUACAUCAAAUAUUGAAAUGUCAUGUCAUUUAAUAAUAAGUUGAUAAAUAACUUGUCAUCUAAUGGAUGCGAUACUAUCAACAUGUCGUCCUAAUUUUAAAUAUACGAAUGUUCCAUCGGUUAUAAGUAAAACAUAAACGAUAUGUUAUCAUAUAUAGAUGUGCAAACACAUACUAUUUAUGCUUGUCGGUUACUAUAGGUGCCAUAUUCCAAAAGGCACCUAACCAUGCCAUAUAUCCAUCCUAUCAGAUAACAGAAGCUAUUCCGGAGAAAUAACACCCAAGUUAUUCUAGGGUAAAUAACACCCAAGCUAUUCCGGGGGAAUAACACCUAAGGAAAAAAUUCUCUCGGAACUUAUAAAAAUGGUAGGAGGGGGGAAUUAGUUCCACAAUCCAUUAGUCUAAGGAAAUCACGCCCAAAGGUCAUACGAGUAAGGAAACACACAAGGGCGAAAUAAUUCCUUAGAUCAAAUCCACCUCUACGUGUACAGAAAAGAUGGGUUACACGUGUCGUUAGAUUGAGAAUUCAAAGCAAAACCCUAAAUUCACAUAACUCAUCAUCUAUAAAUAGAGACCCAUCUCUAAUAAAAAAGGGGUCUUUGGCCUCCAAAAGUAAUUUUCAUACUUAGAGAGAGAAACUCAUCUUCUCCAUCUUUUUUCCUUUUUUCUUUCUUUGAUCUUGAUUAAACACUAAUUUAUGCGUCGGAGUGCCUUUUUCAGGUACUCACCCCUUCGAAUUCGAGGCCAACGAUCGUGACAAGUUCUCCAUAAACUACAAAUACGUGUGAAGGUAAAUUCCAACCUCCUUCAAUUACAAAAAUUAAAAUUUCCAACAUGUCAUCUUUAUGUUUUGUAUAUGGAUGUCCCGUCGUUUACUGAAAAAUCGAUAGACAAUGCAUCAUCCAAUUAUGUGUCAAGUCACGUAGUUUACGGUUGUCAGUUUUGAUAAAUUUAAGUAUAAUUUACAAUAAUUAAUUUAUUAUUAUAUAUUUAAGAUAUUAAAUUACAUCAAAGCUUAGAUUUUCUAAUUUUUGUUUAUAAUGAAUAUUGAAAGCACGGCCCCAAAGAGCAAAGUUGUACAAAUAAAAAUUAAGUAAUUUCCUUUCAAAUUUUCCUUAUAAAAUUAUAUAGCAAACUAAAUAUUAGAUUUAAAUUUCACUCUCCUAUUAUCUCCUCUCCUCUUUUUUAUUUUGAUUUGUCAUUACUAAGUAACAUUGCUAGUUAUCAUUACAAUUCUUAUUCCCUUAAUAUUGUAAAUAAUAUAGGAAAAGAUGACAACACAUAACAUAAUUUGGCCGUCACGAAAAUCCCCUAUAUUUUCAUUAAUGAUCAUGAAUUUUUUUCAUCACUCCAACAAAAAAUUCAUGUUGUUGUUAUUAUUAUUAAAUAACAAAUUAAUAAUAGUAUUAAGAAAAUUAAUUUAUACUAUUAAUUAAAAAAUUACCACAGAUAUCUCUUUUUGAACAAUUACAUCUAGAUGAAUCUGCUUGGUUCAGUCAAAGCACAUAGUUGUUCAAAUAGAGAUAUAUAGGAUGAUUUUUUAGUUCAUGUGAUAUGUAUGCGCUUCAAUUGGAUUGCCAAACCAACAACAGUUACUAGACUUUAGAAGCUAUCAACGUAUAAUUUAUCAAUAUGUGGAAAAUUACGCAUAAAAUACUCAAGUUAAAAAUCUGUUGGUUGAAAAUCACAAAUACAAGGCCAGGAAUGUUAGAGACUUACUAAUUAUUUGAAUCUCUUUAUUUCUUAUUAUCCAAGUCAUGUUAUUGAAGCCAACAAAAAAAUGUUACUUGAAAACCACUCAAUCAAGUCUUUAAGAUGAUUACCUCAAAAUAUUUGGAUAGAUGUUUUAUUGACAACAUUUUAGAUGAGUAACAUGACUUACCAUGGGAUGCAGCAAAAACACAUAUAAUAUAUUAAUAAUGUUAAGAUUGAAUCUAUCAAUUUAUUGAGUAUAAAUUGAUAAGAGAUUCAGAAAUAUUAAGAUUUGAAUGUAACCUGAACUUGAGACUAAUUCAGGUUUUGUUGACUUGACGCUACUUAAGACUACUCAUCGAGGAAAUUUCAUCCAACCAAUGAAUAUUAAAAAAUAAUGGAUAGAGAUUAAGAAAUUUCAUGAAAGAAACACUAGCAUUUAAACAAAUAGAAGAAAGAAACACACCAAUUAGAGAGAUUCAAUGUGCAGGAAAAGGGAAAACAAAAAACAAAAAUGAUGGCCAACAAUUUUACAAUGCUAAACACAGGACAAAUGGUCAUAUUCUUAAGUACCAACUGAACACAACGGACAGAAAGAAUUGAAAGCAUACAAAAGAAAAAAGAAACCAAUCAAAACAAGGCAUAUUUUCAGUCUUUUGGGGUGAAGAGUUAGUCGCAGCUGAAACUUUCUCUUGAAUCUGGGGCGUGAAAUAAACGGAUCCCACAUUUUUUCACCGGGUAAUCCAGAAAUUCAAAACCAUUAGCUUCCCUAAAAUUGAACCGGACAGCCACAGGAACGCAAUUGUAUUUCCGAAAAUCAUUAAAUUCCUCACCAUCAAAGAAAUAGUACCCAAAAAAUAAGUGAUCAGACACUACACAAUCACCUACCCCAAGUAACGUCAUCCGGCUCGUGCUGCAGUGCGGAUGAUAAUCUUUGGGUCUCACUAUGUAUUCACAGUACACGUAAAACUGUUUUUCUAUUUUUGAAGUGUAGAAAAAGUUAAACUUUCUGCUAAAAUUUACAAUAACGCCAAAAGCAAGCCCGAGUACACUUUUAUUAUUGAAGAAAUCUGGAGGCAUCUCCAAGGUUACACAAGAUCCGGCACUUUGAAAGCUAAACCACUUUGGAAUUUUAUUCCAAGGUAAAAAGCCGCGACCUCGAAGUGAUGGAUAGGAUAUCUAUAUAUACACACGAAUCAUAAUUUUAAAAAAAUAAAAAUAAAAAAUUAUUAACAACACUUAAUAGAAUAAAGAUCACUAAUAUUUAAACAGAAAAAUUUAAUCGGAAAAAGUUAGAAUUAACUGUAAAAUUAUGUGGCGUCAAAGAAAGAGGACAAAGUAAUCAAUUAACAUUAUAUCACCACACACCGCGUUAUUGUUCAUUCUGUCAUCUUUUUCUUUAGCUUCUUUUCUAAAUAAAAAGGAGAGAGUUAAUUAACGACAUACCUUUUCCCGUGCUUCUUUUAGACGUGCGGUUGCCAAAAGUUGAAUUUUCUGCAGAGCUCCCUUGACAAUUCCUCUAAUCUCAUUCCGAUCCAAUUUAAAAUUAUCGCUCAGGUAUAAAGUCCGUAAAUAAGAUUCAUCACUACUUGGGAAUAAAUCUGGUAAUGAUUCCAGUGCUGUGCAAUGAUGUGCAUCCAACGAAAGUAGAUUGCAUGGAAGCUUUGGUAAGGAUUGAAGCCUCUCGCAAUACCUUAUGAAGAGCCUUUCCAAAUUAGAAAGUUGUAUGAUGCUUUCUGGUAAUCUCUCAAAAUUGUUUCCCUCUAGAUGCAGUUUUGUUACUGAGGAUAACAGGCCAAGACUUUCAGGUAACCCCAUGAUGCCGCAAUCAUUUAGAUUUAAAUCCCUUAGAUUUUGCAAGCCAUCUACAGAGAAUGUGAUUGGCAAUGAUAAACCCUUGUUUCUCCCGAAAUAUAUUCCACGAACCGUUUUCAAACGGACGAUGGAUGGCGGUACUUCUGUUAUAGAAGUUCCUAUAGCGUGCAAAAUAUCCAAAGCUUCUAAAUUUCCAAGUUCCUCGGGCAAUCUCUGAAGAUUCGAGCAACCAUCGAUAAUGAGAACAUCUAGAGAUUUCAACUUACACAGGCCGCUUGGGAGACUCUUGAGACUUUUACAAUCUGCAAGGCCCAAGUGCGAAAGCUUAGAUAGACACUCGAUGGACGAAGGCAGUUCCUCCAGUGCAGUUCCAUCUAAAUGCAUCGUUGUUAUAUUACCAGGUGAGAUCUCUGGAAGCCUCUUCAGUUUUGAGCAGCCCGAAAGAUCAAGUUCUUUAAGCAAUUUCAAAUGAAUUCUUGCUGGAAGACUUUGCAAGUUUUUACAACCGCUUAGGUUCAAGAUAACUAGGUUGUUCAGAUGUUGAGUCAAUGAGGGGGUUGGAGUUUUUGAAAAAAAAUUGAAGGCAGCAGUGAUUAUCUGGUUUAACUUACCAUAAUCCUGCUCGGAUGAAAAGAGAAGAAACAAAAAAAAUGCCACCAACACAAAUCAUUAGCAUGUAUGAUAAUUAAAAAUUAUUACCGAAACUAUAUUGUAAUUAAGAUAUAUGUAUAUAUACCUGCACACUAUCAAAAAGUUGUUCAAUAUUGCUAUGAGGCAUUUCAAGUAAAACAAGUUUCUCUGGAUGAAUAUUUGAAGGCAAUAAUUUCAAUGGAUAUCCAUGCCAGUGCAGGUACCUCACUUCAGUAAAUCCAGGGCCUUGGAAAUAUGACAUCUUACAUUUGUUCUCUUCAUUCAUUGAGCUAUAAAAUUUCAAAAUCCUCAAGUUAGGCAUCUUUGUGAAAGUAUUGGGAUGCAGAUUGAUAUCUUUCACUUUAGACAUAUCCAACGAGAUGCCUUGGAUUGCUUCAGUCCCCUAAUUAUCAAUAAUAAUAAAAAAAAAUAAAGUUAUAUCUAAUUUAAGUUGAUAGUUACUAUAUGGCAAUCAAACUCGUAAUUGUAAAAGUAGAAAGAAGCAUAUUUAAUACAAGAAAAUCUAAACAUAUAAACUAUAUAUGUAUAUAUGUAUGUAUGUAUACAAAUUAUUAUAUACAAAUUGACAUAACAUAUUUGUAUGCAAAUUAUUACAUACAAGUUGAUAUAACAUAUUGCUACACACUUUCACAAUCAUCCAGGUCACCUUUUCGACAAGUGAAUCCAUUUUCUCUAUCUUAUAUUGAACUAUGGGGCUAAUUAUUUUAGCAAAUAUAAAAUAGAAAAAUUCAAGAAAAUGUUUAAUAUGUAAAAUCUGAUAUUAAUUUCAAUUUUCCCAGAAUAUAUUACUAUUAACAGGGUGAAAUGUACUUAUAACCCCAAUCGAACUUUUUUUUUAAAAAAUUUUAAUUGUAAUUAAAGAAUCUUAUAAGUGAAAAGACCAUUACAUAAUAAUGAUGAAAGAAAUGUUGUGGUAAUCAAGAGUGCAAAGAAAAUUACUGAUGAAAAGGCUAUUCAAAAAGUAGAAAUGAAAAAUCAUUGUUGCUCACCCUGUUUUCUGAUAAAAUUUUAUAAACCUCUUUGUGAUGCCACAGCCGACUGCGUUUUCCAGGAUCAUUGGUAGAUUCUUGUCGGACAAUUUCUCUGCCCAUAGCUCGCAAUAAAUCAUGCAUUUCUAUUUUAUUAAGGACUGAUAUAGUGAUAAGAUGCUUAUCAACAAGAACAUCUAUUCCCGAUGUAGCAAAGAAUUCACAAUCAUCAAGGAAUUUUGUCGCAGUGUCUCUGUCCUCAUCGAUAAAGAAACAUGCAAUAUCUAAAAAAAUAUUUUGCUCUUUGUCAUCCAAACCAUCAUAACUUAUUUUUAAGGCGUCCUGAAUUCCUUUGGGGGGAGCCGUUUCCCAUUUACUUUUUGCAUUUUCCCACACCUCUCUUGUCUUUCCAUAAAGAUAGCGACCCAAAACUUCAAGUGCUAAUGGAACUCCGCGAGCAUAUUUUAUUGUCUUGCAUGCUAGCUCUGUAUGACUUUCAUGGGGAUGAUCUCCUCCAAAGGCAUGUCGACUGAAAAGCCUAAGGGCGUCAUCAUCUACCAAUUCCUCCAUCUGAUAUACUUCAUCAACUCCACAAUUUGCAAGCACUUGUCUAUCUCUCGUUGUUAUUAUUAUUCGACUCCCGGAAGCAAACAAAUCGAGACGUCCAACUAAAAUCUUUAUUUGUCUUGGAUGAUCCACAUCAUCAAAAACAAUUAGAACCUUCUUGCGAGUAAGCCUCCUGCUCUGAAAAUUGAGGUCGGUAUUCAGAAAGUUCUUCACAUUUCCAUCAUUCAACAAUGUAGAAAGAAGUUGUUGUCGCAAGUCACCUAAUCUGCAAGUUUCUUCUGCCUCUCUAACAUUACGAGCAAAGUAAGAACCUGAAAAAUGUCUAGAGAUUUUGUUAAAAAUGGCACCCGCAAUGGUUGUUUUGCCUAUACCGCCGAUACCCCAAAUGCCAAGUUUGUAAACAUUCGUUGACCCAGUGCGUAACAAUGAUUCAAUUUCUUUCAUGGGUAAUCUAACUCCGACCAGGUCUUCGUUUUCUCUGUGAAAUGUGUCAUCCAGCCUCUUCAAAAUUGCAUUGACAAUUUCCUCUAUAAGUGCAGAUUCAGGACUAGCAAAAAAGUAACAAUAUUUAUAAGUUCAAAUGUAGGAGAGGGGAUCAGAGCGUGUAUUUUUAGCCAAUUUAAUGUAGUGGUUACUUUGCUCAUAUAUCUAAUCAAAUGGGGAAAAUGAUCAGAAUACAAAGUUCCUUUAUUGAGUUAAUCAUAGUUAUUUUAUUAAAUUAAUCAUUCAUUAAUGAUUAAAUUCAAUAGAUAACAAGAGAGUUAAGAUCAUUUUAUAAAAUAUAUAUAUAAUUUGAAAACUAGAUAUGCAUGCAAAUUUAAGAGUGAGAAUUAUUGUUGACCUAACGACACGAGAAUCAAAGCCAGAGAGAUCGGCUGCUUCUGUCAAAGCAUUCCUCCAACUUUGCAUCUUGUCCGGGAAUCGUUCUCCAAGCUUCAAAAAUGAAUCCCCAAAAUUACCGGUUUGCUUUCUCACGUGUGAUGGAUCAACUCGAUAGAAAACUGGUACCACAAUCUGUGCAUACUCUUUCUUGCAUUCGAGGAUCUUUAGGAGUUCAUCGAGGCACCAUCUGGAAGAAGCAUAUCUUUCCGAGAAAAUGAUAAUUGAGAUGCUUGAUGCCUCAAUUGCGUCCAAAAGAGACUGUGAAAUUUCAUCUCCCCUCCUCAGAUCGUCAUCAAUGAAAGUUUCUACAGUCUCCCGAGACAAAGCUGAAUAAAGAUGGCUAGUAAAGCUCUCGCGGGUGUCCUCACCUCCGAAACUUAGAAACACAUCAUACUUGAUUUCAGGAUUAGUCAAACUAGCAUAUGGAUGAGAAGAAGAAGCCAUAACAGUUCGAUUGACGAGAGAUUUUGAUGAUCAGAUGUGAAUUACUUAAUUACUUGGAAAACUUCGGUGAGCUGAUUUGUUGACUUCAUCUGAAGAAACAAAUAAUGGAUGACAGCUAAAAGAAGAAAUGAAAGUUUAAAUCCGACCACACAAGAGGAGAAAACUGUGAUGGCUUCAUUUUUUGUGAUGGAGAUUAUGGCCGUACUGAAUGUCUAUUCGUAUCGGGUUUUUGCACUUAGGGCGUGUUUUAAAAUUCAAAUUAAUACAAUUUUUACCUCAUUAUAUAAUCACGUACGUCUUUCCCUCGGGUUUCAACACCAACGCGCUAACUUUUAAUUUAUUGUUUCAUUAAGUUUUAUUAAAUUAAAUUAGUGUUGUUAUUUGUUUAAACAAAUUAUUAUCUUGAAAAUUAAUACUCAACAGCAGCUACUCCAAAGCACCAUUGUGGCCACCGACCACCAUUAUCGGACGCCACCAGCCCCUGGAUUAAUGUAUCUGUUGGAGUUAAAUUUGGUAUGAUUGAAAUCCUUAUCGAUAGAGCGUUGCAACGUACAUGUUUCAUCAGAAAUGGACCAGCUGUUUGCCGCAAAUCUGCGGUAAGAGUUUUGAGAUUCAAAAUUUUGACAGUGAGCAUUUAGCGAAGGAAAGCUCCGUUACUAGUAAUACAUGUAUCGUACUAUCGUUAUGAAGGUCUAGCAAUAAGGAUUUUAAAGGUACCAAAAAUAUUGUCAAAUAAAGCCUUAAUCUUGGGCCAGCGACAGUUCAUGUUUGGUCGACAGUAGUUGUGGUAAGUGGCAACCAUUGGUUAAUAUUAAUAUAAUAAUACAAUAUAGUGUAACAUUUAGAUGAUACAAUAUACUAAUGCAAUAUAACCGAAUACAAUACAUCUUACAUUAACUAAUACAAUAAAUUAUAGCACAAUACAAUGUGUCAAAUACAUACUUAAAGGAUUAGAUAAUAAAAAUGUAUAUCAAGUUAUCAAGGAUAUGCGUAUGGUACACUAUUAUAUUGCAACGCAUUACAUUAUUUUACACGAAUUAUAUUGUAUUCAAUUGUAUUACAUUGAUAUUGUGCUGAAUAUUUAUAAUCUUGUUAUACAGCAUUUUGUCCUACAUUAUAAUUUUUUUAAUUAAAUUUUAAGUAAUUGUAAAAAUUUAUAUUUUCAUAAAAAAAAUUAUUCCAAUAACUUAGAAUACAUAAAUUCUUGAAUUUUUUACAUCAUUUUUUUAAUUUUUAAUUGUAAAGAUGACUUUUAAUGUUACAUUACAAAAUCUCAUGGCCAAUAUUUAAGAUAUCAGAGUCAUAGAAGAACAAUACAGGCGCCCAAACAACUAGGGAUGACAAUGGGGAGGGGAGGGGAGGGGACCAAUCUCCCCCUACCCAUCCCUGAUAUUUUGCGUAUAUCCUCGUCCCCUCCCCGUCCCCGUCAGAAUUACUUGGGAGAAUCUACACAUACAUUAAAUUAGUAAGUAACGCAUACAAACUUCUUUUACAAACUAUCAUGAACAAAUUAAUAGUUUAAUACAAAAUUAUUACAAAUAAAAUCGAAUUUAGAUUCAAAAUUAACUUUUUCAAUGGUGGCGUGAACACUUUAUAAAUAUGGACUAUUCCCUUUACAGCACAAUAGUUAAGUCGAAGCAAAAUAUUAGAUUAGAUUAGAUUAGAUAUAAAAAUUGUGAUUCGUUGUGGGAUUUUUACCAAUAUUUAUAAUUUUAUAAUUUAAAUUUUAUAAUUUAUUUACUAGUAAUUUUAAAAAAUUAAAAAUUAAAAUGGGGAAAUAGGUAGGGGAUGGGGAUUCCACCUCAUCCACAUCCCCUCCCCGAAUAAGAAAUUGGGUAAAAAAAUUUCCCCGACCCUUCCCCGAAUAAAAAAUUGGGUAUGAAAUUAUCUUUAUAUCCUUCCCGAAUGGGGAAAAUCUCCGAGAGUACCCGUCCCCGUGGAGAUUUUUGUCAUCCCUACAAACAGCAUUGUAUACAAAAUCUCAUGAAGCAAAUUGAAGUGCAUUCUUAUUGUUGUGAAAUAUGGGGCAAAGGGAUUAGCCUGCACCAUCAAUGAAAGAAAAUAAUUCAAGGAGUCAAUGAUCCGAGUGUCCGUUGCAAUACUAGUCACUGGGGCCUUCGCUUGAUAAUUACAACAUUUGGAGGUCCAUUUGCAGGCAAAGUCCAACCGUGGGAGAAGGUGAUGCACUGCCACUUUUCCUUUACCAUUAGAUAAGGUGAUGAACAUCAUCUGCCACGUGGCAUCUCCUCUUGAUCAAAGUCCAACCGUCGGAUGUAACUCCGACAGAAGCAACAAGUAUAUAUAAAUAACAAGGGAGUAGAGAAAGAAAAUUAAUUCGCCAGAAUAUUUUGUACUAACUAGAAAGAAGAGAGCAAAAAUGACAUCCCAAAUGGUUUCAACGGAAAAAGUUUGUAUGUUACCACAACCACCGCAGUAGCUCAAACAAGCAUGGCCGCAAGGUGGCGUAGCAAGAAAAUCAAAUUAAUGGGGGUAAAGAUUUAUAAGGUUAGAUAUAAUUUUAAUGGAUUCUUAAUAUUAAGUUGGCAUUUUAAAUUAAAUUUGAACUUGAAUUUGAUGCGUUUAAGUUUGUAAUUUCAAUUAAUAUUGUUUUCUUUUGAAAGCUAGGGGAGUGGACGAAGUUCAAAUUAAUUUUUUAAUUCUCUACUUCCUUAGGACUUGAACUCAGAUAGCCAGUUAAAUAAAAUUAUUUGAGAAUCACUCGUUUAAACUCUCUUGAAAGCAGAUAACUUGAUUGAAGGUGUCAUUUUGAAUUUUUUGGACUAAGCCUUGCCCCUUGGUGACUCCGCCGCCACCAGCUCACCAACCUAAAGUCCGCCGCUGCCUUCCCCCUCAUCAUGCACUGAAUACAAGUGAAAAAAAAAAAAAAACAUGAUGAGCUUUGUGACUUUAACUGGAAGAGAGAUACAGUUGGAGAAAUCUAAAUAUUGAGCGGUCUUGUUGUAAGUCGGAUGACGUUAAUUAAUCUAACUUUUAAUAACAUUACUAACGUUUUCUGGAAAAAUAUUUCACUCACAAAAUUUGACCGUUGUUUAGCUUUUUAAACGUGUGUAUACGUUAUUCCUCACAAAUCACACUAAAAUUCCAUUAGUGACAAACACACCUGCAAUACAUAAUGUGUAGGCAUGUUAAAGCCAAAAGCAAAUAAGAAUAUUAAGACAUUUCAAAUCUUGGAGUACCAUGGGAAUCUUUUUUCCUCCUCCUACUCACUAGAGCUAUUACACGCUCCCCUUAAUAUUUCAAAGUACCCAGUACUUUUGACGUUGAUUAGUCUGUUAUCACAGAAUCUUAAUUUUUGAAAGGUGUCUGAAUCUAAAAAUAAAAAUACAAAUAUUGAUUACCAAUCGAAUUGAAACAAAUUUAAAUUGGAGUUGAAAUUAUGUUACUGGAGUUGUCAACAUUUGAAGAAUUUGUUGCAAUUUGUAUAUUGAAACAAAUUUAUUAUUAAAAAAAUUGUUUAAUCUAACAAAAAAAAUCAGUGAUACUAAGGGUAAUAAUGUAAUGUCACAAAAAAAUCUAAAAUACAAGAAAAAUUGGCACGUCCCAACGAUAAUUUUUUGUUAUAUAAAAUCUAUUUAAUUAACAGUAAAUAUUUUGAGAGGUAGAAGCUCGUUUACUAUCUAUAUUUUGAGGUUAGUACUUGUUUAGUCUCUUAAUUUUUAAAAAUACUUUAAAACAUCUCUACCGUUAAACUAUUGACACCCUACUAUUAUUUUUUGUUCUUUUUAGCUUGCUUUUAAAAUAUUACCCUAUUACAAUAAUGUUUCUUUUUUUGGGACAAUAAAAAACUUUUUUUGACAUUAAUAAAAAGGAAAAAAUUAAAUUACCAAUUUAACUCCAAAAAAUAAAAUAGAAACAAAAUGAAUAAAUACUAAUUUUUAACUUAUUUAAUUAUGUCUAAAAAAUGGGUAAUUUAAAUUUUUUAAUAUUUAUUUUUGGACAUAAAUAAGCUUCCAUAAAAAAUAUAUAUUAUUUUAUUUUUAUUUUAUUUUGGGGUUAAAUUGGUAAUCUAAUGUGAGUAUUACACACUGCAGUGCUCCUACAAUCUGACAUGUUGUGCUUAGCUAGAAGUUUUACAAUUUAUUUUGCUUGAGAAAGAUGCAUGCCAUUUGAGAUUUUUGUAACCUCAAUGCCAAGAAAGGGAUUUAGCUCUCCUAAAUGUAUUGUGAUAAUAUCAUCAACAUAGACAAAAAAACAUAAGAAUAUCACCAUCUAUCCACUUGUGCAAUAGAGAAUUGUUAGAUUUAGAGUUUUGGAACCCAUAUUGAGAAACCACUGCAUCUUUAAACUUGUUAAACUAGGCCCUAGAAGCUUGUUUAAGGCCAUAAAGACUUUUCUUGAGCUUGCAAAUGCGGUAAGGCUUGGAAGUGGCAAUGAAACCUUCAGGCUGAGCCAUUUAUACAUCUCCAACCAAGAUACCAUUGAGAAAUGCAUUGUUGACAUCAGCUUGUCUAAGUGCUCACCUGUUUAUGAUAGCCAAGCUUAAGAAAAUUCUGACAAUUGAGGACUACUGGACUAAAUUCAAUGGUUAUAUUAUUAUCACUUAACAGUUUUUGACAUUGAGUUUUUGGUGAUAAGAGGGACAUGUAAGUUGUAACACAUGAUCUAGCAACAAAGGUUCAGUAUUAAAUAAUACUGAUCCAAUAUCAGCAAUACUUAAAGCUGUACAUUUCCAAUAAGCAACUUUUCAACGCCAGUAUAUACUUUUAAAUCAAGAAGUUUACCUGAAUCAUUUGUAAUAUGAUUUAUUGCACCACUGCCUCUGUACAAGAAGGAUCUUCUACAAUCUCAGGAGCUAAAGCUAAAGAAGUGGAUGACAAACCACUAUUUAUACUAGAAAAACCAGCCAAACGAAGAGCGUUUCCAGUGCUAGGUGCAAAGGCACUAAAAACAGCAGCAUGACAUGCAUAGAAAGCAAUAGCUGAAGGAUCUGGAUAGAUGUCAUGACCCUGAAAAUCUGAAACCCUUAGCAUUACUAAGUUGUUAGAAUAAAGAUCAGAGCCUCUUCCAAAACCAUUAAAAGGUUUAUAGCCUCCAUUAUUAGGAAAACCAAAACGCCCUCUGCCAUACUAUCCUUAAACAAACAUCAAAGCCACCUCUGCCAAAGCUUCUAGGAACAAAAGAGGAAUUAUAUCUGCUUUUGCAUUUCUUAGCCCUAUGACCUUGUGUAAAACAAAUUUGACAAAUGAUGUCAAGAGCAGUAGCACCACUGACUUGACCUAGACCUCUAUUGUUGAUACCUCCAUAGCCAAAAGUACAACCACCACCAUAUGAACCUCCAUUUUUCUUUUGAAAGCCAUUGACAAUUUUACCAUAAUUUUGAUUUUUUUUAGCUACAUUUUUUGUCAUGUUAAGUGUAACAUCACCAGUAAUUUGGCCUCUUUUCUGUUCCAUCCCGCUCUCAUGACUUAAAAAAGAAAGGAUAAAGUUCAUUUAAGCUAAUUUAGUCUCCUCUAACUAAGACACUGGUGAUGAAGGAUUCAUAAUAAGAGAAAUUAAGUCCAUUUAAAAUAUGCUGCACAAAAUCAUUCAACUCAACAUGUUUUCCAGCUAAAGCAAGAUUAUUAGCCAAUUUUUCAUUAUAGAAAAUAAUCCACCACAGAGAUCACUUCUUUCUUAAGUGUUUCAAGUUGCAUCUUGAGAUAUGCUGCACAAAAUCAUGCCAGUGAGCAUGUCCAAUAGCUCUUUUGAGGUAGUGCAAUGAUCACCGUCCAGAGUAAGUUUUGUUGAAUCGAUGACAUCAUCCAGCUUAAAAAAUUGAUCUCCCUCCGUCCAGGUUAUAAAGUCUGGAUUCACCUCUAUUGUAGUAGAUCCAGUUGAGGACCUAGCUCCAGUAGUUUCAUGAGGAAGAAAUUGCACGGGACACGGGCGAUUGCUAUUAAUAAAGCUUUCUAAACAGUUGCCUUUGAUCAAAGUUAAAAUGUGUGCGCGCCACGCAAUGAAGUUUUUGUUACCUAGCUUGAUAGGAGUAACAAAGCUAAAGGAUCCAGCUGAUUGAUUAUUCAUAUUCGAACUCGCCAUAGUUGGCUCUUAUACUAAGAAUUUGCAAUUGAGUGUGUUUGGGAAAUGAGAAAGUGAAGUAGGAAAUGAAAGAAAACAGAGAGAAUCUUGAAUGUAACAAUACGGAGAAUUCUUUUAAUUGGUUCUUAGAAAAACUUAAUCAACCAAUUACAUUAUAUAUAACUAAUUUCAACUCUUCAACGCAGCUUAGUGACACGUCAAUUGGUGAGUUAUAAUCAAAUAUGUGCUCCUGUGCAAAAAGCUUCUCAACACUUCUCAAGCUCAAUCAUUAAAGUCACUAACGAUUCUGAUAAUUAUCCACAUACAACAGUUUAUUUCAAAAAAAUCAUUAUUCUACCCAUAGUUUUACAAAAUAAUAAUAAUAAUAAUAAAAGUACUUGUAUGUCAAAAUUUUAAAACCUUCUUCAUCUUUCAUCUUUCAUCUUUCUACAAACAAGAUUUAUAACAAUAUAAUUGAAUUAGAAGAAGAUAAAAUUGGAAGUAAGUUACGCCAAACCCACAUAAUUUCUCCUGACAACUCAAAUAAUAAAGUGAAGACUGAAGUUAUCUGAGUAUCAUUUCACACUUAACACUAGAAAGACCAUAUUGUUCCAAAGCUUUCUCUUACUCCAGACUUUCGUUCCGAUAUUCAUUUGCAUUGAGCUAAUGAAUAAACAAUCUUCAUUUCAACUACUUUUAUUGUCAUCAUGGCUUUCUUUUACUAGUUUAGAAUCUAAGUUCUAUUACAAUUAACAAUUUUUUUAAUUAAUUUCUCCCAAUAUCCUAAAGUAAGAAAGAAUCUUGAAAAGUAAACUUUUGUUGGUUUGUCUCAGGCAUCCUAUCACAUGCUAUGAACAUGGAAAAGCAAUAAUCAUGUGUGAGUUAAUUCUCAUAAACUCUAUGCUUGUCGCUUGAUAAGAUGGAAUUCAUAACAUAUGAAUCGAGCAAAUUUCUUUUUUUUUCAAUAAAUAUUUUCAUAUUAUUUCAUGAUAAUCUCUCGAGUAGGGUUAUUUGCUCCAUCAUUAAAAUUUUAAACUAUAAAUUUUUUCAACAUCUGAAAUUAUCUUUCCCCCUACGCCGGUGAUAGCAGCAAACCAUAUACUAAUAUUAAAUGGAAUAAAAAAAAUUAAAAUAUUCAUCAUUUAAAAAUAGUUCUAUUAUUAAAAAUAAAUUAUUUAAGUUAAGAAAUAUUUAAUUCAACUAAUUUAAUCAUGUUAUAUCCAUUUGUACAAACUAAAAUUAAAAUUACACGUACCUCCAUUAUUACUCUUAGAAGUAUAAUCAAUGUGUGUCUCUUGCAGCACUAGCAUAGCUUUAAGUAUUUUGUAUGAUUAUGUGAUAAGCAUAAUAAAUCAGUUAACAUUGCAAUAGUUUAUUUAUUGAAUAAUUUGUUUAUUUUGAAGCAGUUUUGGCCUUUGGGUGUUUUCAUGAUAAAAUCUAUUAAAAUUCAACCUUUUUAAAAAUAUAUUGGAAAAUAGUAUCACCCAAUUUUAUUUAUUAGGAAUAUUAGGUAAAAAAAAAUAUCAUCAGUUCAGCUAACGUUAAUACCCAAAAAUUAUUUGAUCAGAGCUGGAUCGCUAAAAUUCGAUAGUUAAGUGUUCUUUACUUUAUCCAACAACAAUCUAACACAAUGAAAUUGGAACAAGGAUCGAGAAAGAAUAAGAAAGAUUAAAAAUCUUCUUUAAAAACGGAUGCAGUUCAAUUGAAUGAGGUGGGUGCUGGGUUGUGUGAGAGAAGUAAAAAAUUUCGGUUAGGUUUAGCCAAACCUUUUUGAUGUGUAGCCCAAUUGAGGCUAAGGGUUGGUUGUCUAAUAACAAAGCGGCUUGCCAACACAUACCAAAUACAGAAAAUUUAAAAGAAGAAUGAACAGAUCAACUGUGGGUCUCUUUAUUGUUUGAUGGGAAUUGGCAGAAAGAUGAACGUGUUCAUUUAUUUUUACAGCAUUUUGCUACAUCUCUACCAAGAAUUGCUGACAAUAAUCAAACCCAAUUAAAAUUUUGCUGCAAAUCUACCAGAAUUGCUCAUGGGAUCAACUCAAAAAUUAUAAUGCCUUAGUACAAAGACCAUGAGAUCAACUCAUGGUCAAAAGUUAGUUCAUAAAUUAAGGUUCUCGAGUUCGUUAUUUACAGUCCAUUGGACGUGGAUAUUUUCCAUAUCAACUCCGUACUACAUUUUCUUUAUCACCCAUCUCUUGCGAGCCCAUUUGAGAUAAUAAAACCAACUCAUAAGUUAAUAGUCAUUUCAAACUUAUAUUAUAGUGUUUGGCGGUAUUCUCAAUCAAGCUUCAAAUAUAAUAUAAAUUAAGUUCCCUUUUUUUUUUUGGGUGUUUUGACGGUCAUCUUUUUCAGUUGAGUUGAACAAUGUCUAUCCACGAGGAAAAGAUAAAGGGAAAAAAUAGAUAAGAAAAGUGAAAUAGAUAAAGAUUUUCCGGAGAAAAUUGAAGAUGGCAGAUGGGCAAGAUAAGUUUGUUGGUUCAAAUCAAAAGAGGAGCCGCACACGUAAAGUGCUGAUGCGAUUUAAGUAGAAUUGCUGUCAAUUUGUAGAGAUAGCACACCCUUUCGGAAAGCUCAGAGCUUAGUCAGCACUCGGCAGCAUUAAGACCUUUCAACCACUAACGGAAGGCCACCCAAUUCAACGUAUGCUCUCAUCAUUCAAUUUCAUUAAUCAGACAAUCCACUGACUGGCACACUUCUUUCUUUUCUUUUUUUUUUCAACCCUGGUCCCUUUCACAAUCUUUUAUUAGGAUCCGUCUUUAUUUUUUUGUACUAAAAACCAAAGGGUUUGUUACAAAUGAGCAAGAAUACUAAUAUAAACGCACAAUUAAACGAUUAAGUGUGUAGAUUUCCAAUCGUUAUGUUAAAAUGUUGGACGUAUAUGGAGCCUUAUUAUAUAACCCAUAGUUUGCAAAUAAUUAUAAACUUUGGAUGUGAAUGGAGCAUAACCUUUGGGUACAGUCAAUGCCGUAGUUGGAGGAAGGGCAAAAUCGCCAACACAAUAAUUUUGUGAAUCCUACUAGUUUUCUCUUAGAUUUUAUAAUUUCAAUUAUAACUGAGUUAAACAAGUUAUCUAGCUUAAAAAAAAAAAUAUCCCCACUAGAGACGGAGAGGACAAAACCAUACGAACAAAAGCAUGGACGAUGGGCCCCAAUGUUCGUGUCCACCACGAUCUGUUGGUAUGCUUUUGGCUUCACUGUUUCUGCUUGAAUGAAUCAAAUAGAAUAUUGAGAUGAUAAAUAAUUAAACAGACAGCCACAUCAAUAAAGAAGAUAAACACAAAGCAGUCAGGCGCGCAGCAGGCGCCAGGCAGCAUCCAAAGCAACAGGCACAAAAGUAAUUAAUUAAACAAAAAUAUAAUCAAUCAAAAAGAUUUCAUUCAUUCAUUCUUCUCUCAAAUUUUCCUCCAAAUUACAAUUACAAAUGGGAGGAGGAUGGUUAAAGAUUGACAAACUAAGCACCAUAUUGUUAUAUUACAGAAUUUCCAAUUGAAACCCCCGCCCCCCCAACAAAAGAUUAAACAACUCUCUCAAUACUCUCUCUCUCUAUAUACAAAAUACUG
rnacentral:lncRNA from 1 species